rnacentral:lncRNA from 1 species
UUGGAUGCCAUAGAUAAAGAAAUCAUCAAGGAAUGUUUCUUAGACUUGGGUUCAUUUCCAGAAGACCAAAGAAUCCCUGUUGCUGCCCUCAUUGAUAUCUGGGCAGAGUUAUAUGAUGUAGAUACAGAUAUAGAGUGCAUUGCAAACCUCUAUGAGCUAACCAAACGUAGUCUAGCUAAUCUUGUUGUUACAAGGUGUGCAUGCUUUGUUUUUUCUUGUAUGAUAUUUUCGCUCUAUUUUCCCCUUUAUACUCACGACUGGUUGAUGCUAAUAACUUGUUAUUGCAUUAUGUUGGUUGAAGAAAUCUCUUCUAAGAAAAUUAGUUUUGAUCAUCACCAGGAAGGACAAUAUGGUGGGGGACGGGUACUACAGUGAGCACUUUGUUACCCAUCAUGAUGUUGUUAGGGAGCUGGCUAUCUACAACACAAAAAAAGGACCAGUAGAACAUAGAAAAAAACUGAUUAUUGACAUAUGUGGAGACAAUCUUCCAAAAUGGUGGAGAGAACAAAAGCAUCAGCCAAUGAAGGCCCGCUUAAUAUCCAUAACAACUGGUUGUUCCAUCGCUCCUUUUCUCUUUAGCAAUUAUGUAGACAUGCACAAAUAAAUAGUUAUUCUUGCUCACACGCACUCGCACGUGCACAUGAAGCCUUAAUAGUACUUUCAUUUAGUUUCUUCUCCAGACACUCACAGUUGUUGCUUUGCAGAUGAAGGGUUUUCAACAAAGUGGCACGACAUGCAAAUGCCAGAAGCUAAGGUUUUAGUAUUGAAUUUCCAGACAAAGAAUUAUGCCUUACCCGAAUCUUUGGUGAACAUGGAUGAAUUGAAGGCUGUGAUAGUCACAAAUUAUGGUUUCUUACCUGCUGAAUUGAGUAACUUUCAACUUUUGAGUUCGUUACCAAAUCUUAAGAGAAUCAGAUUAGAACGCAUCUCAAUUCCUUCUAUAACCAACAAUCCCAAACAAUUGGCGGGUCUGAAGAAGAUAUCCUUGUUCAUGUGUAACAUUGGUCAAGCUUUCAACAACGGUUCCAUCUCAAUCUCAUCAGCAUUCCCAAAUCUAGAGGAAAUGAACAUCGACUAUUGCAGUGAUUUAAUUGAAUUGCCCGUCGAGGUUUGUGAUCUUAAUAAACUAAAGAAGCUCGGUGUCACUAGCUGUCAUAAACUAUCUGCCUUGCCUGAAAGGAUUGGAAAGUUGGAAAAUUUAGAAAUGUUAAGGCUAAGAUCCUGCACAGAACUGUCAAAGCUUCCACCCUCAAUGAAGAACCUGGGAAAGGUAAACUUUCUUGACAUAUCUGAUUGCUUCAACAUCAAGGUGUUGCCCGAAGACAUUGGUGAAAUGAGUAGUUUAAGAAAGAUCAACAUGAGACAAUGUUCAAGGUUGCAAGAGCUGCCUCCAUCAGUCAUGGAUCUUGAGCAGUUAGAGGAAGUGGUCUGUGAUGAAGAGACAAAAUAUUUGUGGGAGUCUUUCUCGUCGUGUCUCAACAACCUGAAGAUUAUUGUGACCAAAGAGAAUAUCAACCUAAAUUGGCUCCACAAGACUCAGUUCUGAGGUAUUCUAAGUUGCAGUUUACUGUAUUCUAGCCGAUAUGCCAUUUAUAUGUUGUUGUUAUUGUUGUUAUCAUUGAUAUUGCAAAGUUAGAAUUGUCAAAAUAUAAUUUGUGAUGCCCAACUGUAAGUGCAGUAUUAGGAUGCAUGAUCCUCACACAAACUCCCCUAAAAGUGUGGUGAACUCUUGUUACAAACUCCCCUAUUGUAAGUGAUGAUUUCGUUCAGGUGUGCAACUGUUGGCUAUGACCAACAGAUUGUUUGUUUUAUGUUAUUAAUAAGCCAUUUGCUUGCGCCGCAAGAAACUGGCCUUCUUCUCAAUGGAUUGUUAUUUUGGAGGGGUUAAAUCCAUAUUUAGAUUCUUUUUAAUGCCGUGAGGACAAGGACUUAAUAAUUUUCUUGUGUUAUGUUGGAACCAAAUGGGGGGACCUCCGGGACCGGCAGUUGAGCACAAAUUCGAGUAAACCUAAGCAACUUGCAAAAUAGUAAAACAACCGUAAGCAAACCUUACCAAAGGUUCUUCAACGGUCAAGUUAGUGAAUGAUCUUUAGACUCAAGCAGUGGACAAGAGAAUUCAAGUGUAUGGAUUGCGUUAAUGUAGAUGAACCUUAGACAGGUGUAUUUAUACCUUCGUUCUAAGCUGGGAGAAUCUUAGGGGGAGAAUCUUAGGGGAUAACUAGUAAGUAGAUAUUACAUCCUCUUAUGAGUUAUAAUUACUUACGGCGCAUGCUUAUCCCUAGAUUGUAGGGACUCCAAGACUAAUAAAAUCUGAUUGUGUCCCUACUCGGAUUAGAUCACAUGUCUUGCAGAACAAGUAUGGUCAUUUAGUGGAGUCGCUAGGACUCUUCUGCCUAUUGCCCUAGAGUAGAGUGAUGGUGGCACCCUACUCCCUCUGAUAGAGCUCCACCCAGGGCUGGUAAGUCUAUGACUGGACUUCUGAGGUAACAGUAUUCGGAUCAGCCUUACUCUAGUCCUGAAAAAUCAUGGUCCCGUAAUUUUCCCUAACAAUCUGUCUGAGAGGCAACAUGUUCCCAUUGAAGAUGGAUUGUUAUCAAAGGCAAUGCCUUUUGGAAUAAGCUGGAAUACAUACCGUUUAAUCUUCAUGAAUGCAAGGUGACCUUUUAACACUAAUGUGGCAGCAUUUCAGAUUCAAACAUGUAUCUUCGUGUAGGUGCCAUAAAGUUCGCAAUGAUGAAACAUUGCGUCUGACUCUUGCGCACGAGAAACGAGAAAUCUUCUUUGAUAUCCCUUGUUUUUCCUAGCCGUUGUUAGAUCUUAAUACAAGUCGGUCUAAAUUCAACGGUUAGAUGACUCCCCCAAAUGAUACCUAUAUAUCCUCGGAUCUUGCUUCUCUCCUCUACCAUAAACUUUCAUUGUCCAAAAAGGCUCCAACUUGUUAUCUGUACCUAUUUCAAUAUCCUCUCUCCCUUUUGAAUCUUUUUUCAUGGCGUCUUCAAGCAAGAAGUCUAAAUUGGUCAAGGUUUCCCCUUAUAAUCUUUCUUUGACGAGAAUUUGUAAUCGAGAAGAGGGUGAGUCAUUUGUUGAAGAGCACCAUGAUAUCUUGUAAGACUGCAACGUUUGGUGGGAAUCGACCACGAUAUCUACGCCGACUUGUCGCCAUUGUCUGACCCAUGUCGCCCUUGCAUUAUAAUCUACCCCUGGUUCUUGGACUUAGGCAUUCGCUUUCCGCUUUCUACUUUCAUGAAAGGCAUUUUAUUGUGCUAUGAUAUAGCAAUUUGUAACCUUUUUCCCACCACCUUCAGGCUUCUUACUUGCUUUGAGUUGCUGAAUAAGUGGUUCAGGGACUGAGUUGGAUAUCCCCAAGUUUAGGUUGUUGUACUGCAUCAGACCGAGUUUGGAUGACCACUAUUAUUUUGCGGUUAGAGCUAGCCUAGCUUGGGAGACAUUCAUUCAGGACAUUCCCUUCCACGACAAGGAAUGAUUCAAAGAUAUACUAGUCGUUGACGGAGCUUGUGAAAGAGAUAUUAGCGGAUUCCAAAUCCGAUCUCGUCUUCCAACUGACCCAGAUUUCAAAGGUGGUCUAUCUGGUAUUAGCAUAUGCCGUCUAGACUUGAUUCGCCGGGCAAUGCAAAUUCUGGCCGUUUCCUGCAAUUAGAAGUGGUUGUUUUCCUCUGAGCACUUCAACAGCCGUGGGAAAGAUAUAGACGCCUUUCACUGUUCUAGAUUCCCUAAAAAGAGUCAGAGUGGGUUGAUGCUCGUAGCGUUCAUAAAAUGUCUCGUUCCUUUAAACCAGCAUCAACUCUGUCACCUAUCCCAAAUAAGCUAAAAUAUCCUGGUAGUUAUUCUUCUCACUCAUUGAUUGCGACUCCUCAGCUCUAGCUGGUUAGGUACAUCCACUGUAAAGGUAUUGGAUAAGAGAAAGAAACCCAUCUUCGAAGAAAGAGACGUAUUACUAUUCCGACGCCACCAACUUUUAAUGUACUUACCCCUGCAUCCGUAAUAGAUGAGGCACCUCUUCGCUACCCUUGCAUUCACCUGCAAUGUUGCCCCGGUCAUCGGAGUCGAAAUCGUCGUGCCUUCUAUUGCCUCGGCGUCAACCUCUGUCCCUCAACUGCUACUUUCUGUAGAUGGAUCUCCCCGUUAUGAUGGUCUUUCGUCAACUGCUGCAUUGAGAGGAAACAACUCAUCCUCCCCUUGUGAUUCGGCCUUCAAUUGAUUGUGUUGCUCUUCUUUCAGAUGCUAGUGGUCUUUAAAAUACGGACUAUGCCCCAGUGCUGCUCAGAGUCGUAAUUGCCCUCGCCGACUUUAAAGAAGAUUGCACCUCUUGAAGACGUCAUGAUACGGUGCUCCGAGAGUCGUUAUGAAGUACCUGACUCCAUUUCCUUCAUUUCUCUUUGUUGAUAUUCAUGAAUUCCCCAUCAUGUACCUUGUAUAUUAUGUUAAUAUGUGGACGAAGGUCGCCUUGUUCUAACAAGUAAGGCGAAUCUAGGAGCUUGAACAGAUUUCGGGCCUUGAAACAGUGGCGAUAAUAGAGGCGGAACAGCGAUUGCUAACCCAAUUAGAAGAACUCAAGAAUGCGCAUGCCAGGUAGCAAGCUUUGGAUUCUGCUCAUGAGGCGGAGUUAAUUCGCUACAUCGACCUGGCUAUUAUUGAAGAUAAAGGCCAAGGAUUACUAGGAAAGUUCUAAAAAGUUCAGAGAAUAGCUAAGGCUGGAGAGACAGGCCAAGGCGGAGUCAGACUAGGCUCUCGUUCCCUCGAAGGGAGAGUCAGAGUGUGCGUUUGCUUCAAAGUGGAAUGCUUGGGCUAGGGAGCGGGAAGCUCUUCAAAAGGAGGUUGAGGAUCUUCACCAAGAGGUCGACCAAAGACAAGAGUCUCAAAUCAAGAUCCAAGAUUCACAUCACGACUUUGGAAUAAGUUACAAGAUGAGCUUGGAACUCGCUUUGAUUUAAGUAUAACUUACCAUCCGCAGAAUGAUGGGCAGUCAGAGCGAGUAAUUCAAGUAUUGGAGGAUAUGCCUCGUACAUGCAUACUUGAUUAGGAAAUGAACAGGCUUAGAAAUCGAGUUAUGAAAUGUAAAUGACAAUACCAUGGGCCUAAAGAAACAAUCUGACAUUUAGAUAUCCACCUACAUUUGUAGAAUAGUUCACUACUUUGGCAUGAUGGGAAAGUAUCCGCUAUCUGUUUCUUUUCUUAUUCAUGUAAUCAUUGUUAUUCGCUCAAGUUAAAGGAUCAACUGGCCACCCGAUCAUUGACACUCUACAGUUGAAUGUUCAUUGAUUUAAGGAAUAAGAAAUGCAAUAGAUAUGAUGCUAAGAAAAUUUUGCAAAGAUACCCAUAAUUUUCUUGAAAGUUUAUGUGUGUUCAACUAAGUGUUAAAUGUAUUCAGUAUGCUUAAGAUUUCGAACUUCACUUGGAAAUGACAGUCCAGUAAAAGAUGAAAACUCUCGACUUGUUAAGUAAUUCAGUGUUUAAAGUAAAUCUCAAGGACAAGAUUUGUUUUAAGGAGGGUGGAAUGUGAGACCUUGAAAUUUUAGAGGUGUUUUUAUGAACUUUGGAUUACCUACGAAUUUUACAAUUUCUAGUUCCUUUUAAAUGGGUGAUGAUUUUACUUGAGUUCAAAGAUUAUUUUGUGGUAAAAAGAUGAAAGUGGAUGAGAUUACGAGCUCGUGGCAUCUUUUGAAUUAAUUUUCAAAGCUCGAACGAACUUAUAGUGGAACUUUAAAUAUGACAGAUUGGAUAACACCAUGUGGCAACCAAAGAAUGGCUGACUUUGACACAUGGCAGCCACAAGUGAUGGAAUCAGCCACGUGGAGAUCAAUUUGACAGCCACCUUACGCAAGAGAACCUAGGAGCUUAUUCAUGGUUGUAUAUUGAUAAGCUCCACCAUGUUGCUAAUUUAUAAGAAUUAUCAUGAAGCCUUGUUGUCAACUUAGCAUGGCAUGGUGAUGACUAAGCUUUUAAGUUGGAAGGAUUAAGGUGGAGCCAUCAUUAAGGUUAGAUACAAUAGACAAGUGUGUUUGUGACUCAUACUUUUACAAGUAAGAGUUGUCAAAGUAGCAGGAAAGGUUAUCCAAUAUAGAGUUAAUGCUGCCCAUUUCAUCCAAUGAGGAAUAAGAGAUUUCAGAUUAUUUCACCUAUAAAUAGGAGCAGCAUCUUCUUAGUUUCAAGUGCAGCAAUUAUAUAGUCGAGAAUUAGGUGAGCUCAAUGUAUGAUAAUGGCAUACAAUGCAUGCGAUAAGAGUUCAUGUCAAGCUUGUUCUUGCACAAAUUGAAGGCUUUGAAGCCUAUUUGAUGACUGGAAAACGAUUAAUAAGAAAUUAAGGUAAAGAUUUACACUUGAUCAGAUUUCUGAGAUUUUGUACAAGUUUCAUAUGGAUGAGAUUUAGAGAAAUUUGAUGUUUGACUCGAAAUUCAUCAAAUUUGGUUUUUAUACGACGUUUGUAUGGAAGAAGUGAGUUAUACUAUUGAUGGAUUGUGUUUUGCCUUGAAAUAUAUGUUUGAAUUUCUAGGAAAACAGACCUCAAAGCCGCUGGUUUCAUACCAGGUAUUGAAAUGUGAAAAUAGUUUCAGUUUUGGGGUAAGUUUGUAUAUUACCAAAAGUUCAGGGGCCAAAGUGAAAUUAUCAAUUGCUUGGGGCCUAUUUGAAAUAAUAAAAGUUCAAACACAGAUUUUUUAUUCUAGUUAAGUGAAGGUCCCUAUUGGAUAUAGUUGUUAUAAUGGGAAUAAAGUUUAGUCAUUAUAUAUGGACAUAUAGUGACAUAUUGUAAUUGUUGAACUAGGGACUCCAAUUACUCGUGGUGCUUACGUUUAAUCAAUGUAUUGGUGAGGAAUAUUACUUGCUUGGCUUGGAGACCAGAUAGGGGGAUCCUUAUUUACCCUAGUUAUGGAUUUUUGUGCAUAUGUAUACGUAAAUAUACGAAUGCCUGUGAAUGUUGCUUAUAUUUUGCUGAGAACCAUGAAGAAAAAAGGUUUUGUUUUUAUAUCAUGAUAUGCAUGUUGUUUUAUGCUACAGUUAAAGUGAUGACUUCAGAGUGAAGGGGGCAUACUGACCGCCUUGGGUUUCGAUCCCCUAAACCUCCGGAAGGGCCACUACGAAGGGAUUAGUACCGCUACCUUUCUAGGAGAGGUACUAGGAUAAGUAAAGCAUUAAAGGACACUCUCGCUACACCUUACCAUAAGUAUAUUCAUUCGGAGUUGGUGCAGGUAAAGGGGUAGUUGGUUAUUAGACCGAUCAUCAGGCAUGUAGCAAUUUAUUGGGAUCCCUGUUUUCUUUUUAAAAGGGAAUUGUGCAAGCAUACAAUCUAUUUUCAAAACUAAACAAAGAUGUUGUGCACCAAUCAUUUUCCAAUAGUAUAUAUAGUGACGUAUACUAUUUUUAAAUCUAGCUGGGGGUGGAUUCCCUGAGGGGGAGCUAUGAAAUAUUUGUGAUGCUCACCCUUACUUUAUUACAGGACCAGUGCACGUACAAAAAGAUGUUCUGGACUAAAGUCGGGACUAGCAUUGUUUGUUACUUGUCAACUUCUCAGUCGUUCAUUGACUCUUUCUACAUAUUUUUAUCUAUACAUAUACUUGAUUGCCUCACCAUCUUGAAGUGAUUUUUGUAGCCAAACUCAACAUUUUGCAUUUUCAAAUCGUACUAAAGAGUUGGUUUAGUAUGAUAAUUACUUUAAACUUUUUGGUUUUGUUGUAGAUUGUGAAGUUCUUUUCCUAUGUAAAAAUUUUAUCAAAAUUCAGUUACUCUUUUAUUCUUCAUUUUAUCAAAAUGAUUUCUGCUUCCAUACUGCUUAAAAAUAAAUUAUUUUAUUCCCCUCAAAUAGCCUUACGUUCUAUUAGGAAUGAAGUGCAAUAGUGUUGGAUUUUAACACUAUAGUUUUUUUUUUUACAAAUAGAGCGUGGCACUGUUACGUGAUUAUUUUUGGGGUGUGACUGAAAAAUGGUAUCAGAGCGACGGUUGAUCCACCUCUAAAGAAUUUUGUUGUUCCUCUUUAUUUUAAAUUGUUUUGGUUCGAAAAAGAGUUUUGAAUUCCACCUUCGAUUUGCGUUUUGGAUUGACUUUGCCAUGUCCUUUCAAUUCAAACUUCUACUUCAUUUGUUGUCGAGUCAAAUCUUGAAUGAGUUGUUGAGUCAAUAUCUCUCAUUUCAAUUCAUACUCUGUUGACAAGAUGCCUAGUCCUUCGACAAGUCCAAAAGAAAAUAGGGCACCGACAACAAAUAGCUAAAAUGUCUGGGGCUUUGCAAGCAUCUACGAAUGCUUAUAUGCGCACUAAUGAGGAACGUACACAUAAUCGAUAGAUGUCUUAUCUCGAUCGUUUUAUGAAAAAUAAGCUGCUCAAGUUUUAGGGAACGCCUGAAGCUGAGAGUUUGUUGGAACAUAUUAAGAAGAAGAUGAAAACUCUUCAUGUACCACCAUAAAGUUAACCUAGCUUCACAUGUUCCUAUGUAGCGGAUUUAUGAUGGGCUACUAUACGUGCUCAGUAUAACAUUGAAGAGAUGAAUUUUGAUGAUUUUGAGCAACUUUUUCUCAAGCGUUACUUUCUUGAUGCCAUGAAACAUACUAGGAUUCAAGACUUUCUUGAUCUUAAGUAAAGGGAAUAUGACUGUGGCUGAGUAUGUUGCCAAAUUUAGUGAGUUGAGUAAGUACUCUGAUGGUAUUGCUCAUGAUUAGAAGACAAUGGAAAUUAAGUUCAGAAAAGGGUUUAGAGACUUUAUCUGAAGGCAUAUUGUAGGUCAAGGACCUAAAACUUAACAUGAAAUUGUGGAAGCAACUUAUAAGUUAGAGCAAGAUUAAUAUAAAGGGUCAAGAUCGAGAAAAAUGAUUAGGAAGUUUUUUAGGAACAAAAAUGGAGUAGGAGUGGCAAUGGUGAAUAUAGAUUUAGGAGGCCAGGGCCUAUUGAAUGUUAUCAAUGUCAUGAAUUUGGAUCUACUAGAGAUAAAUGCACCAGUUGCAUUUAUGGAUCUCAUGAAUCGAGUAUUCCAACCUUAUUUGGAUAAGUUUGUUAUUGUUUUCAUUGAUGAUAUCCUUAUUUAUUUGAAGACUAGGGAGGAACAUGAAAUGCAUCUCCAUAUAGUCUUACAGACUAUAAUGGAUAAUCAGUUAUAUGCUAAGAAGUCGAAGUGUGACUUCUAGUUAACACAAGUGAAAUUCCUUGGACAUGUUAUAUGUGGAGACGGAAUUUGUGUGGAUCUCAGUAAGAUAGAAGCAGUAUUGAACUGGGAGCAACCUAAGAGUUACUUGGAGAUACGUAAUUUUCUUGGAUUAGUUGGCUAUUAUAGAAGAUUUGUUCGGGAUUUCUCAAAGAUUGCAAUUCCACUAACCUGACUCACAAGAAAAUGAGUAAGAUUUGAAUGGAAAAAUAAGUGUGAGUCGUUAUUUGAGGAAUUGAAAACAAGACUUACCACAUCGCCGGUGUUAGUAUUGCCUAAUAACCAAGAUCCAUUUGAGAUAAACACUAAUGCAUCGGCACAAGGACUCGGAUGUGUGCUAAUGCAAAAUGGAAAAGUUAUAGCUUAUGCUUCAAGACAGUUAAAGAAUUACAAGAGGAAUUAUCCAACACAUGACUUGGAGCUAGCUGCCAUAGUACAUGCAUUAAAGAUUUGGAGAUGUUAUAUGUACGGCCGUAAGUUCAAUAUUUAUUCAGAUCACAAAAGUCUUAAAGCAUAUAUAGUUUCAAUGUGAUUUGAAUUUGAGGCAAAGACGAAGGAUGGAGUACAUAAAGGAUUAUGUUUUUGAAUUGUCCUAUCAUCCUUGGAAAGCAAAUGUAGUUGAUGAUGCUUUAAGUAGAAAGACGAGGAACACUUUGUCUUAUCUGAUGUUGGUGGAUAAAAAGAUGUUUUAUACAAGACAAGAUUAUGAUCUAGAGGAACAACAUGAUGACAUAAGUGCUUAUUUGGCAAAUCUUAGUUUAGCACCUCAGUUGGGAGAUGUAUAAUGCAGAAACAACAGGAAGAUCCUAAAGUACAAGAAAUAAGGCAGAAGAUAGUUUCAGAAGAAGCACUUAAGGAAUGGAAGCUUCAUGAAAAUGGUAGUUUGAGGUACAAAGACCAAGUGGUUGUACUCGAGAAUGAAGAAGUUAGAAAGAAAGUAUUACAUGAAGUUCACAGAAUGCAAUUAGAUAUGCAUCCUGGAAGUACUAAAAUGUACAAGGAUUUGAAAAGGCAAUAUUGGUGGAAAGGUUUGAAGCGUGAUAUUGCUAUUUAUGUUGGCCAAUGUGUAGUGUACUAACAAGUAAAGGCAGAGGCAGAACACCAGAAACCUUUCGGAAUGCUACAAUCACUACCGAUCCAAGAAUGAAAAUGAGACAACCUCAUGAUUGAUUUUAUUACCGGCUUACCAAGAUCAAAGAAAGAACAAAAUGGUAUUUAGGUGAUAGUUGAUAGACUUACUAAGGUAGCUCACUCUCUGCCUAUGAAGAUGGAUUCGUCUAUCAAUUACUUUGUCAAAUUGUAUAUUGAAUGGAUUGUUCGAUUACGUGGAAUUCCAAAGACAAUAGUCUCAAAUCAAGAUCCAAGAUUCACAUCACGACUUUGGAAUAAGUUUCAAGAUGAGCCUGGAACUCACUUUGAUUUAAGUAUAGGUUACCAUCCGCAAAUUGAUGGACAGUCAAAGCGAGUAAUUCAAGUAUUAAUUCAAGUAUUGGAGGAUAUGCCUCGUACAUGCAUACUUGAUUGGGAAAUGAAAAGGCUUAGAAAUCGGGUUAUGCAAUGUAAACGGCAAUGUCAUGUACCUGAAGAAACAACUUAGAAAUAGGAAUCCGACAGUUAGAUAUCCACUUACAUUUGUAGAAUAGUUCACUACUUAGUGGCAUGAUGGGAAAGUAUUAGCUAUAUGUUUCUUUUCUUAUUCAUGUAAUCAUUGUCAUUCGCUCGAGUUAAGGGAUCUACUGGCCACCGGAUUUUUUAUACUCUACAAUGGAAUGUUCAUUGAUUUAAGGAAUAAGAAAUGCAAUAGAUAUGAUGCUAAGAAAAUUUUGCAAAGGUGCCCAUAAUUCUUGAGAGUUUAUGUGUGUUCGACUAAGUGUUAAAUGUAUUCAAUACGCUUAAGCUUUUGAACUUAACUUGGAAAUGACAGUCUGACCAAAGGUGGAACCUCUCGAGUUGUUAAGUAAUUCAGUGUUUAAAGUAAAUCUCAAGGACGAGAUUUGUUUUAAGGAGGGUGGAAUGUGAGACUUGAAAUUUUAGAGGUGUUUUUAUGAACUUUGGAGUACCUACAAAUUUUACAAUUUCUAGUUCCUUUUAAAUGGGUGAUGAUUUUACUUGAGUUCAAAGAUUAUUUUGAGGUAAAAAGAUGAAAUUGGAUAAGAUUACGAGCUUGUGGUAUCUUUUGGAUUAAUUUUCUGAGCUCAAACGAACUUACAGUGGAACUUUAAAUAUGACGGAUUGGAGAACACCAUGUGGCAAUCAAAGAAUGGCUGACUUUGAGACAUGGCAACCACAAGUGAUGGAAUUAGCCACGUGGAGAUCAAUUUGACAGCCACCUUACGCAAGAGAACUUAGUAGUUUGUUCAUGGUUAUUUAUUGAUAAGCUUCACCAUGCUGUUAAUUUAUAAGAAUUAUCAAGAAGCCUUGUUGUCAACUUUGCAUGGCAUGCAGAUGACCAAGCUUUUAAGUUGGAAGGAUUAAGGUGAAGGUGUCAUUAAGGUUUCAUACAAUAGACAAGUGUGUUUGUGACUCAUACUUUUACAAGUAGGAGUUGUCAAAGUAACGAGAAGGGUUAUCCAAUAUGGAGUUUAUGCUGCCCAUUUCAUCCAAUGAGGAAGAAGAGAUUUUAGAUUAUUUCACCUAUAAAUAGAAGCAGCACCUCCUUAGUUUCAAGUGCAGCAAUUAUAUGGUCGAGAAUUAGGUGAGCUCAAUGUAUGAUAAUGGCAUACAAUGCAUGCGAUAAGAGUUCAUGUCAAGCUUGUUCUUGCACAAAUUGAGGCCUUUAAAGCCUAUUUGAUGAUUGGACAACGAUUUCUAAGACAUUAAGGUAAGGAUUUGCAUAUGAUCAGAUUUCUGGGAUUUUGUACAAGUUUCAUAUGGAUGAGAUUUAGAGAAAUUUAUUGUUUGACUCGAAAUUCAUCAGAUUUGGUCUUUAUACAACGUUUGUAUGGAAGAAGUGAGUUGUAUUAUUGAUGGAUUGUAUUUUGGCUUGAAAUAUAUGUUGAAUUUCUAGGAAAACAUACCUCAAAGCUGUUGGUUUCAUACCAGUGACUGAACUGCGAAAAUAGUUUCAAUUUUGGGGUAAUUUUGUAAAUUACUGAAAGUUCAGGAGCCAAAGUGCAAUUAUCAAAAGUUUGGGGACCUCUUUGAAAUAAUAAAAAUUUCAAAUACAUAAUUUUUAUUCUGGUCAAGUGAAGGUCCUUAUUGGAUAUAGUUAUUGUUAUGGGAAUAAAGUUUAGUCAUUAUAUAUGGACAUAUUGUGACAUAUUGUAAUUGUUGAACUAAGAACUCCAAUUACUCGCGGUUCUUGCAUUUAAUUGAGGUAUUGGUGAGGAAUAUUACUUGCUUUGGCUUGGAGACCAAGUAGGGGAAUCCUCACUUACCCUAGUUAUGGAAUUUUGUGCAUGUAUGUAUAUGUAAAUAAACGAAUGCCUGUGAAAGCUGCAUAUAUUUUGUUGUGAUAGGACCAUGUGGAAAAAUGGUUUUGUUUUUAUAUCAUGAUAUGCAUGUUAUUUUAUGCUACAAAUUCAAGUGAUGACUUGAUAGUGAAGGGGGCAUAGUGACCGCCUUGGGUUUCGAUCCCCUAAACCUCCGGAGGGGCUACUACGAAGGGAUUAGUACCGCUACCUUUCUAGGAGAAGUACUAGGAUAUCUAAGGGUAGAGCAUUAAAGGACACUCUCGCUACACCUUACCAUAAGUAUAUUCGUUCAGAGUUGGUCCAGGUAAGGGGGUAGUUGGUCAUUAGACCAAUCAUCAGGCAUGUAGCAAUUUAUUGGGAUCCCUGUUUUCUUUUUAAAAGGAAAUUGUGAGCAUACAAUCUAUUUUCAAAACUAGACAAAGCUUUUGUUGUGCAUCAAUCAUUUUCCUAUAGUAUAUAUAGUGUCGUAUACUAUUUUCAAAACUAGCUAGGGGUGGAUUCCCUAAGGGGGAUCGAUGAACGUUUAUGAUGUUUACCCCUACUUUAUUACAGGACCGGUGCACCUACAAAAAGACGUUCUAGACUAAAGUCGAGACUAGCGUUAUUUGUUACUUGUCAACUUCUCAGUCGUUCAUUGACUAUUUCUACAGAUUUUUAUCUGUACAUAUACUUGAUUGCCUCUCCAUCUUGAAGGGAUUUUUGUAGCCAAACUCAAUGUUUUUCAUUUUCAAAUCAUACUAAAGAGUUGGUUUAGUAUGAUAAUUACCUUAAACUCUUUGGUUUUGUUGUAGAUUGUGAAGUUUUUUCCCUAUGUAAAAAUUUUAUCUAAAUUUAGUUACUCUUUUAUUCUUUGUUUUACCAAAAUGAUUUCCACUUCCAUACUGCUUAAAAAUAAAUUAUUUUAUUCCCCUCAAAUAGCCUUACGUUCUAUUAGGAAUGUAGCGCAAUAGUGUUGGAUUUUAACACUAUAAUAUUGCAUUAAUAAUAGAGCGUGACACUAUUACGUGACCCUUUUUUUGGGCAUGCCAAAGAGUUUCAUAUCGUACCUGAUAAUAUUGUGUAGGUAGGGGUUGACUUCUUCGUGCCUUGCCCCAGUUCGUAGGGUACUGACAUCAAUACUUGCCACAUGGUGUCAGAAAGAGUUUUCCCUGUUCUGAAUUGCAUGUUUGUUUCCAGGGAAUCUCAAGCAAAAGUUCUUUAGAAACAUAGACAUCAGCAUGUGGGUUAUAAACACUUUUUGAAUCUUUUUGUCAGGCUCUAUGCGUUGGACCUGAGCGUUUAUGAUCGUACUACCUUGGUUGGCUUGACUAAAGCAUUUCCGCGAAUCGAAGCUUCAUUGGAAUAAAUUCCUCUUGGGAUUUACCUAGUUUGAAUUCCUCAUUCGAACUUGCUAACAUUUGGUGUUACAGAGCUUACUUGACUUAGUAAGUUGGUUCGAGAUAGAAGCUGUCAUACUCAGGGUCGGAUGUUAGAACCACCCUCGAAUGAGUUUUGGCUCGCUCUUUCGACUAUUCCCUAGAAUGGCGAGCUCGGGUUUGAAUGUUAUAACCCAUAACCUUGCUGGUUGCAUAAACUUUCCGAUGGCCGGAUAGUGCAUUAGACUUUCGGGUCAAGGCUCUAUGUGUCUACAGCAGUAGCCUGCCAAUUGUUAUCGCGCUUAUUACAGUUCAAGUCUCCUAAGCUGCUAACCGUUCCAGACGUAUUAGGCUAAAUGACGCUCAUAUGGCAGUGUAACUUUGAAUGUCUUUAGACUUGCAUUGUUGCGAAGUUUUUAAAGUUUGGGCCCUGUUUUCAACGAGUAAGGUGCUCCAUGCAUCAUUGAAAUAUAAAGAAAGAACACGUAUUUAAGACAAAUAGAUGUUUCUAUAUUCAUGAUCAAGGUAAAAUUAAUUGACAAUGGGGCGUGAAUCCGAGAAGGAUAACCUACAUAUCUUAUGGACGAAGAAACAAAUCACUAGUAUAGUUCUAAGGAAAAUAUGAUAUGAUGUGAAAAAUUAUAUCAAGUAUCACUUUUGACGAUAUGCCUAUGGUGAGGCAUUGGGAGAUGAGUUCUUCUCGAACUUGUCUUCACACAGACGAUUGCUUUGUGAUUGGGUCUGGAAAUGACUGCCUACAUAUCCCGAGAAGGGUCGCGUGUAGUUUAUGUGAGAUUCACUUUGUUUUAGGUCACCUGGAGUGGUCUACAAGGGUUUCAAUUUUCUUCAGUAGAGAUUCUAUCCUUUUACAUAAGUCCUCCAGUUUCUCUGAUGUUAAAUUCUUCUCUGUUUGGAGUCAUUUGGGAUAACGAGGCGAGAUUCUAUAUUUAAAGGGGAUAUUUCCCGUGGCAUAUAACCAUUCUCGGCCUAGGAUAACGUUGUAUAGAGAUAGACUAUCCAUCACAUGGAAAGUCAUCAUAUGUUCAGCUGGUUUUGCUCAAACCAUAAAGCGUUAUGGUUUUGCUUAAACUAUGAGGCGUUAUGGUUUUGCUUGAACCAUAAGGCAUAUUGUCUCUAUGGUGUUGAGCGGCGUCCCCGUAAAAGUUCGGACAAUAGACUUUCUUAAGUUGACUUUGUUCAGGAUGCUCAUCCUUACAGUUAUCUCUCUGAAGAUGAUGUUGACUUCUAACAUGUCGUCUAUUAGGGCUUUGCUGACCAUGGCAUCUUUGAUUUGUAGCCUGACAACAAGGGUGCCAUUGGAAGAUAGGUAAGCAAUAUCUGGCUUGGUUGAAUGACCUUUCAUCUGAGGUUCUCCCCGGAUUGUCUUUCUUAUCUUUUGUGCUUUCUUGAAAUAUUUCUGCCAUUUUUUUAUGCGAUUGAUGCUCGGGAGGAACUUAUUACGUGAGUGUUGAGGGGUAGAGGUCUCAGAGUUUUAUGUAGCCUUGAUAAAUAUGUUGUCGGGAAGGGCUUCUGGAUCAAUGCAUUCUAUAUGGUGUAGAGUAAAACUUUCAAAUUUGGCGAGGGUAUUUCUAUAGUUUUCAUUCUCUCAUUCAGCCCGGCGAGCUUCAUCCUUUAUCUAACUUGUAAGUUCCUCUUGAGGUCUAUCAUUGACAUGUGUACCUUCGGACGUUGUCCCAAACCUGGUCAAUGAAAAAAGCUUCUUCUUUAUUCGGGCUUAUGGUUUGUCCAAACAACUAUUUUCUAGGUGUGGCCUCUAUAGAGUAAAGUGGUAUGGCUGAGAGGAAUAUGGGUUCACUCUCAAUGAAAGCACCAAUUGUUGAAUCAAAUAUUUUUACCUUUGUUAACGGCGAUUGAGCACAAAUUCGAGUAACCUGAGCAACCUGCAAAAUUGUAAAACAACAGUAAGCAAAGCUUAGGUCCGCUGGGGGAGGGGGAGUGCGCCCGCCAAAGGCUCUCCGACGGUCAAGUUAGUGAAUGAUCUUUAGGCUUAAGCAGUGGGCAAGAGAAUUCAAUUGUAUAGAUUGUGUUACCGUAGAUAAACCCUAGACGGGUGUAUUUAUACCGACGGAAAGAAACCUUUUUAGGAUAAAAUCCUCGUUUUAAGCCAAGAGAAUCCUAGAGGAUAUCUAGUACGUAGAUAUUGCAUCUCUUAGGCUUAAGAAUUAUGAUUACUUACGGCGCACAUCUAUCCCUGGACUAUAGGGACUCCAAGACUUAUAGGUCUGGUUGUGUUCUAUCUGGAUCAGAUCGCGUAUCUUGCAGAACAAACAUAAUCAUCCAACAGAGUCGCUAGGACUCCACCUAGUGCCCUAAAUAGAGUGAUGGUGGAACCCUGCUCCGUCUAAUACAACUACGCGCGCAAUUGGUGAGUCUAUGACUGGAUUUCUGAGGUAACAAUAUUCAAAUCAGCCUUACUCCAGCCCUGGAAAAUCAUGGUCCCACAUGCUAAAUAUCAAAGAAACAAAGACCACAAAUUGAUUAAAAGAGACUUCAAGUUAGUCAGCAUUCUUUGAGUAAAAGGAAAAUUGCAAAAAUAAAGUCCAGUGAAUGAAACAAAGGAAUAUACUAGCAAACAUUCAAGAAACAUUAAUAACAUAAGUGAUAAACAAAUCAUAUAAUAACAUGAAAAUAAUGGAAAAUACAAGCGAUUGGGCAAGUUUAGACAUAUUCGGGCAAGUUUCCAAGCAUGAGAAUUCUACAUAAGAGAAUUCUACAAGUUUAGACUUUGCGGUUGCAAGUGAUGUACUAUUAAGAGAAUUCUACAAAGGAAAUCGUUGCUACAAGAGGGAAGUAGCAGAGGUACAAAUACAAAUGAAUAUUUGAGAUACAAAAAGAAUAAUUGAAAAGUAGGCUGUAGAGCUUUUAGAAGUCUUUUUGGCUUGAGUUGAGUGACAUUUUCUCUAAUCCCUAUGCUACCUUUUAUAGAAGUUUCAUCUUCCAGAAUUAAGAUUUCUUAAUUCGGUUCAUUCCCUUUCAUUCAAGUUAGUGAUGUGAUGUUUGUCAAACGAUGUGUCUUCUUGGAUACACAAGCUUUGAUCAUCUCGAAUUUACAUAUGUUGCCAUAGUAAAACAUUUUUCCUGUGAAACUUGGCUGAGUAAGCUUUCUUUUUGUGUGAACGAGGGUGAACUUGCCGCCCAAAAAUGCCAUGUCAAAAGUACUUUUAAAUCUUGGACUAGCCACUAUUUAUUUCUGCCAAAAUAAAUAUCCAAAAUCACGAGCAUGAGUCAAAGAAUAUCCUAGCCCUUGGUCAGGCCCAAUUUGUUUAAUUAUGGUCCAAGCAUGCAGUUAGCUCCAAGCAGAAAGAAUGGUUAAAUAUUAAUCAUAUAUUACUCAUUGGUCCAAAACUUUCGUUUGUUUUUAGGGGUGAGUUCAAAAAAUCGAAAGCUGAAAAAAAAAAAAAAAAAAAAAGGGACCAAACACCUAAACCGAAAAAUCAAAAAACGAAAAAAAAAUCAAACUUGAAAAGGAAAAACCAAACUGAACCGAACUUGAUUGGUCCGGUUUCAGUUUUGAAGGUUCAAAAACCGAAUCGAAACGAACCAAACCGAAUUCUUUUACACUUUAUGAAUGCAUGCCCAUGAUGUUUCUUUUUUAAAACUUUGUUGCCAAGUUUAAAAGUAAGCCUAGGAUUAAGGAGCAUACUUGGUUCAAUUAGAAAAGAUAUUCCAUUGGUUAUAGAAGAAAGUUUGGGAAGGUUUUGGAACUUAGAAGAGCUUUUUCUAUUUGUUUGCUUUUGAAAUGGAUACGGUGAUCAUUUUUCUUUGCAAUUGAGGUUGUUGAUAGAAUAUGAUUGGUUAAUAUGAUCUUGUAUAUGUACAACUAACUACCUUCCCACUUUCCCCGUUUUCUUAUUAUUAGUCUACCAAGGCAAGCCUCUUUUCUAAAGUCCAUGUUAAAAAAAGAUCAACAUUUAUAAAAUAAAAAAAUCAAAACCAAACCGAAACCAAACCGAAAAAAAAAAACCAAACUGAAAAAAACUGAAAGAAAAUCGAACCGAAGUUUCGGUUUUGGGAAAAAACCGAACCCACCCCUAUUUGUCUUUAUGCUUUGUCGCCUUUCGAAACAUACCUUUGGUUUGUAAAUUUUGUUUAUAAAAUUUGGUCUCCCUAACAUUUUUCACAAAUUAAUUGGAUAAGAAACAAUGUUUUCUGAGAAAAGUACAAAUCUGGUCGGCCUCUACCUGCAAGUUUCCUGGUUAAUUUCCAAGUCCCCCUCCACAGUCAAUCAGUUAUUGCUAAAGUCAAUGCGCUCCAACUCCGAAAUUUCUUUCGAGCUUCAAUCGUAAAUAGUAAGUACUUAUGCUAAAGCCCAGACAGUUUGGAGAAGAAAACCUAUUUUUGUUAAUCCCAUCUUUAUUGAUCACCAACAACGUAGGACUUAACGUUAUCCAUUAUACUUUAGAGCAAAAUACACAAAAAGCAUAAUAGCACAACAGAAAUAACACAAAUAAAAAUCAAUUAGAGUAUGUGCAUACUUAAAAAACCGAAUUGGCUUUGUAAGACUCUCUCUAAACCUUAGGUUAAAACCUACAAUUUUUACCCCAGAAUAUUUAGGUUUUAACCUAAAAAUAAUUUUUCUACUCCAACUCUUAAGGAUUAAAUUUUUUGCCUAAGAUUAGUAAAGAAUGAAUUUUGGAUAUUUUUUUUUCUUAAAGUAAAUGAUUUUUUUUUAAAUUAUGUAAACUAUCCUAAUUUAAUUUUAUGAACAUUUGAACCUAAAAAUAUUUAGAUUCCGAUAAAUAUUGAAAAUCACUAAACUGACAGCAUGAAACUCAUGGAACAAAAGAAUAUGAAACACAUAAAAGAUAUUUUUUUAAUUACUUUAGCCGUUGGAUUUAAAUUUGAACUGUUAGAUAUUCUUCCUUUUUUUUACCGUUGGAUUUGAUCAUAUUAGAUUUUAGCCUUUGGAUUCAAUGAAUGUAUAAGUAUAAAACUAUAAAAAUACACAUAUAUGGAGUCCACUAACCCAGGCGGAAUUCUGGCCUCAAUUUGCUUCAUAAUGGGUUUGGGUUAAAACUCAUAUUUGCCCCAAGGGUUGGAGCAAGUUAGGAGAGGUUUAGAACCCAAAAUUUGAGUUUUACUCUAAGGAUUAGAGUAGGUCUAAUGAGUAGGGCAAAAAGAAAUUUUAAAAAUCAAGGGUGAAAAUUAGGUAAAUGAUGAGGUUCUUUUCUGUAAUUGAGAGAUAGCUGAUAUUUUCAAUAAAAAGAGAGCUGAUUUUUAGUAAACAACACUGAAUUUUUUGCGUAUAUUCUAUGGGAACAUAAGGGAAUUAUACUAUAGUCUCCUCACAUAAAAUUCUAAGCUCUGUCAUUUUUUCGUUAACCUAUAAUUCAUGCAAACGAGAUUAAUUAGUUCAUCAGUGGAUUUAUGAUCAUGUAAAUGAGAUAAAUUCAUAUGUUCGUUAAACAUGAUAGAGCUCAUGUGAGUAGGGAAGCAUAUAAUUUCCUUAUGUUUUCAUAGCAUAUGCACACAAAAAAUUUAAUUAUAUGUGUAUAAGUAUAUUUUUCAUCAUCUAGUAUACCAAAAAGAAAUAAAAAAAAUGUAUAUGUGUAUAGUAUUCAUCAUCUAGUAUACCAAAAAGAAAUAAGAAAGUAGCAUCUUCACAAUAAAUUCUCUUAAAUAACUUACAUUAGGCUGAUGAAUUCACUCACAACAAAAUUUGCACUAAAGAAAAUCAUGUUGCACUGCUUUCUAAUAAAAUAAAGGUAAUGUUAUCCACAUAUCUAUUUUUACUUGUUAGUUCUCACUCUCUCAAUUUUCAGUCAUUGGAUCAAAUGAAUAGAAUAAAAUCAAAGGUAAACUAAUGAAAAUGACUUGAAAACUUUGAGUUUUAACGAUAAUGACAAAAUAAAGGAUAAAGUGAAUAGUACUAGGAUUGAUUUUUGGGAACUUUAACGAAAAGCAUCCGGUACUGUUCAUUUUAACGAAAAACCACAUUUUUACACUAAAAAGUCAAUCCUGGUACUAUUCACUUUACUCUUUAUUUUGUCCUUAUCAUUAAAACUCAAAACUUUCAAGCCCUUUUCAUUAGUUUUCCUUUGAUUUUUUAGUGUAAAAUAUGGUUUUUCGUUAAAGUGAACAAUAUUUGGAGCUUUUUGUUAAAGUUCCCUAAAAUCAAUGACUAAAAUUUGACGAGAGUGUGUGGGAGGAAAUAACAAAUGUGUGGAUAUCACUAAUCUAAAAUAACAAGGUCAAAAGGAAGACAAAGUGACUUUCUUUUAGAGCUAAUACAAUUCUUUUAGAAAGAUAUUUGAUUGCAUGAACAAUAAAGUCCUUGUACAAUUUAAAUUAAAAACUCAUAGAAAAUUAUAUUCUUAAGAAAAGAAAACUAUACUUAUAUGACAUAAAAAAAUUAUUAAUCAACAUUGAAGCUUUUGUGCAUAUUCUACGAAAAAAUAAAGAAAUUAUACUAUAGUUUCCUGAAGAGAAAUUUCAACUCUAUCAUUUUUCGUGAACUUGUGAUACACGCUAAAAUGAGAUGAAUUCUUUGAUGAUGAAUAUUUGAUACACGUAAAUGAGACAUAUUCCUAAGUUUAUUGAAAAUGAUGAAGCUCAUGUGGUAGGCCAAAAUACAAUUUCCUUGUGUUUUCAUAGCAUUUCUCCAAAAAAAAAUUGUUGAAUUUUUUUUAAUAUAUAUAAAUAUAAUAUCUUCUCAUCUUCUGGUUUUGUGCAUAUUCAACAAAACCAAAAAUAAAAAAAAAAAACUUGCUUUAAGCCUAUGAAUUCUUUUCUUUAAAAAAUGGGGACAAUUGGUGGUAAGUCACAGUUAUCCACCUCUUCCGGGGGGUUGGGAAGACUCAUAGAGGCAUUUCAGCCUCCCCCUAGCCACAGUUAAGCAAUUCAGUCACAAUAAAAUAAAAAACACUUUGUGUGAUAAAUGUAGACGUAUUCAUAUAUUCUACGAAAAUAUAAGAAAAUUAUACUAUGGUCUCCUAGCCCACAAGAAAUUUCCAAUUCUGUCAUUUCUAGUUAACUCGUUAUUCACGCAAACAUGUUUAAUUUAUCAAUGGACAUAUGAUACACAUAAAUGAGAUUAAUUCAUAAGUGCAUAGACAGCGACGGAGCCAGAAAUUUAUGCUAAGAGGGGCCUUUAAGCUAAUGAAAGAAAUUAGAAAAAAAAAAUUAAGUAACAUCAUUGAAAAUGUUAAUCAAACAAGAGUGAUGGAGCUUUAAAAUUUGUAUGAAAAAAUUAGUAUUGAGAGAAAUCAUAGUAAAUAGAAUUUGUCCUCACAUCUUAAUCAACAUUGAUAAUAACCUUAUAACUAGCUCAAACUAAACUAUUAUUAUGAAAUUUUUCUUUUAAUAUUAUUGAUCUUCCUCUCUCGAAUGUAUAUACCUUGUUUUAUAUAAACUAAAAAAGAAGGAAUUAGUUUAAAAGAUAUCAAAAUGUUGGCAGAAGAGUACUUAUAAGUUAUAUAUGGUAAACUUUAUUUUAGGUGGGGGGGUUUAAAAAUCAUAAGGUAGUUUUCCAUCUGCAUGUGUCGACCCCAGGACCUCAUGAUAGGUCUAAAAUCUGAUCAACCUAUACACCACAUUCUCAUUCUUGCAAAAGUCAGUACACAAUUAAUAUAAGUUUAAAUUCCAGGCCCUGGACUGCCCUACUCUCCAUGUGGCUCCGCCACUGUGCUUAGAACAUGACAACCCAUGUGAGUAGAGAAGCAUAUAAUUUCCUUAUGUUUUCAUAGCAUGUGCUGAAAAAAUUUAUAUGUAUCUAAGUAUAGUUUCUCAUCGGUUGAUAAUCUAACAAAUCGUUUGACAAAAAAAAAGUAUAGUUUCUCAUCUUCUAGUAUACCAGGAAACCUAUAGUAGCAUCUUCAAAAUAAAUUCUCUAACUUACACUAGGCCUAUGAAUUCACUUGCAACAUAAUAUUUUCUCCCUCAAACAGAGGGCAAUUGUGUUAAUUUUUGAAAAAUUAACCAUAACGUUUCUCCCUUAAAAAUAUAGGUAAAUAUUAAUUUAUUUUUAUUUUUUAUCUUCUAGUAUAAAGUUUGUGCAUACUAAAAAAAAUAAAAUAGUAAUCUUCAAAAGUUUAACCAUACUUGUAUAUAUUUUCUCAUAUAUACUUUCACCCAGCACCCAUAUUUUUUUUUUUCAGUUCUAUAAAGUAUACUUUCUCCGAAGUUUUUGUCUAACAAAAAAAACGAUCAUUAUCAACUUCCAAAAAUUAAAAGACCACGUACAUAAUAAUUAACUGAAAUAUAUUGAAUUAGCUAAGGUAGUUGCAUGUUAGUUCAACUUUUUGUUUUCUCUUUACCAUUUCUUCGAAGUUAGGAAUGGAAUUAUGAAAAGAAAAAAGGCCAAAAUAGUCUUUGUCAACUUUCUUGAGGUCGCCCACUACCCCUUCAAUACGCCUUUCUAAAUAUAAUUUGUUGUCGUCGUCGUUAGAGCUGCACCUUCCAAUACUCUUUCAUUUACUUUAAUCCACCGUGUGCUUUGGCUCAGAUUCCAGGACGUUUCCAAGAAACGAUACUGUAGAAUAGUUGAAGGGUCGUUUAGCGGUUUCGCAACCACUUCGGAUACAAUUUAAUGGCAGUGUGAUGCAUCAACAGCUUUGUCAAUGCAUGAUUUUUGAAAAAUGUUACCGAGGUUACGUUUUCAGAUUAUAUUUUGUAAACUAAAUGAUGUGGCAGUUGAUGGUUGAAUAUUUUGUUAAUGCAUGAUUUUUGUUUAUGCAUGACUUAAUAUUACGGAAUAGUAGUAUUCAUAUUCACUUGUUAGUGAGAAGUCUUAAGUUCGAUCUCGUCAAAGGCGAAUUUGAACUACAUUGUUGUUAGCUCAUUGUAAGUCUCAUCCCAUCCAUUGUCUUUUAGUAUAGAAAAAAUCGUUUGUUAAAAAAAAAAAAACCCAUGAAUAAAGGAGUAGGAUCAUCUCCCCUCUUAUUCUCAUCCUAUUUCUUUCCGUCCUCUCACGUAUUAUUUUUUGUCUUAUUAUCUCUAUAAAAAAAUCAAUAUAAAAUGUUAACGUAGCUUAAUCAUAACCGUUCAAGUAGGAGUGAAGAGAAUAAAAAAGAGAUAAGGAUGGAAGAGAAUCCUCAAAAGGAAAAAAGUAAAAAACUUUUGGUCUAAUCAAGAUAUGCCAAUAUUGUAGAUUCACAAAUAAAAAACCCACGAUCUGAUCGUACAACCCUAAGGCCAUCUCCAACCGAAGGGUCCAGAGGGCCAGAGGGCCGAAAAUAGCCCUAAAAUUGUCUCCAACCGAGAGAUAGGCCAGAAGGCUGUGGAAUCUAAGAGGGCCCCACGGAAUCGGAAAGGGCCAAAGGGCUAAAGGGCUAACCAUAAUUUUUUUAAAUGUGUCAUUUCCUGUCGGUUAUAACCGAUAGGAAUACAUUCUAUUACUUAAUAUAAAUGUAUUACUGUCGGUUAAAUAAUAUAAAUGUAUUCCUGUCUCUUAAGAAAAAAUUCAAAUGCAACGGCUAGCUCACUAGCCGUUGCAUUUGAAUUUAUUUUUUUUUACAGUUUUAUUAUUAUUUUUUAUUGUUUUAUUAUUAUUUUUUAUGUACAAAAUUUUUCAUAUAACUUCUAUUUUUUCCUAUAACUUUUAUUUUACAAAAUUUGUUUCAUAUUUUUUUUUUAAAUUCCAUUUUUUCCUAUAACUUCUAUUUCACAAAAUUUGUUUCAUUUUAUUUUAAAUUCUUCUUUUUUCCUAUAACUUCUAUUUCACAAAAUUUGUUUCAUUUUAUUUUAAAUUCUACUUUUUUUUAAUUCCAUAUUUUUUCAUUUUAUGUUUGGCCUUAUUGCCCUCUGGCCCUCGGGUUGGAGACGUUUUUUUGUGACAUGGCUAAAACGAGCCCUUUGACCCUUUGGAGACGGAGGUAAAUAUGAUCUUAUACUGUUCAUUAAAAUAUUAAUAUCUUGGAGGAUCUUGGAGGGCCAGAGGGCUAAAACGAGCCCUCUGGCCAGCCAUCGGUUGGAGAUGGCCUAAACUCUCUUCCGAAAUACGUAUCUCUCACAUUAUAAUAGGGAUGUGGCUGUUGUUGAAAUCAUUACAAGAAUGAAAAAUAUGAAGUCUUGCCUAAUGUCAAGUUUUCGAAAUGUAGAUUUCGUGUUUCAUUUGUCAAAAAUAAUUUUUCUCAUUCAAUUUACUUGUAGUUUAAUUGGUUAGGGUUUUGUUCUACAACAAAAAGUGAGAGGGGUUUUGAGAAUUGAAUAAGAUAAAUAAUACGAUAAAAGUGAUUUAAGGUAUAUGUAGAAAUCUUUUAUUUUUAAAAGAAAAAAAUCUUAUAAAGUCAAAAUUGUAGUUGCAUAGUAAGGUAUAUAAGUAUAAUUUUUUCUUUUAAACCUCAUAAGAUAGAAAUUAUCAUUACGUAUGUAAGUUGUUUAAUAUUAUAUUUAAAUAUGAGGUGUAUUCAAUAUAAUAAAGGGAAUUUUAUCGAAAAAUUUCAGGUACUAUUCAUUUUAACGAAAAACUACAAUUUUAUACUAAAAAGUCAAUCCUGGUACUAUUCACUCUAUACUUUAUUUUAUCCUUAUCGUUAAAACGCAAAACUUAAAAAAAAAUUUUAUUAGUUUUCUUUGUAAUAAAGGCCGGAAGGAAUGUCUAAAUAUUAUUCGUUAAUUGCAUUUUGGUUCAAAACUUUCGUUUGUCUUUAUGCUUUUGGCUCUUUAUGCUUUUGACUCAGAAACUUACCUUCGCAAUUUAAUUGGAUAAAAAAAUAUGUCUUCUGAGAACAGUACAAUAGGUUGGUCGAUUAUCUCUACCACUCUCACCAUGAAGUUUCCCAGACAUGGUGAUGCAGUUUCCUGGUUAAUUUCCAAGCGCUUCACAGUCAAUCAGCUAUUGCUAAGGUUAACGCGCUUCAACUCCGAAAUUUCUAUCGAGCUUCAGUAGUAAGUAUUUCUAUAUUAAAGGCCAGAGAGUUCGGAAAAUAAAAUAUCUUGCAUGAUCACCAACAACAUAAAAGAAAAUCGACUUUAUGUUGCUUGUUUUCUGAAUCUCUUUGUUUUGGGUUCCAAAUGUAAGAGUUUCUCACUUUUCCACAGUUUCUAAUCUGUUAUUGUUUUGGGAAAGUAGCUAAAAUGGUCCGAAAUCAAUUCUCAAAUUCCCAAUUCUGAACUUGUCAAAAUCAAAUAUCGAUGAUAUACUGAAAAACUGAUCAUUUCAGCUAUUGGGCGAAAAAUGAUCAUUUCUGCCAAUUUCCCUGUUAUUUUCUGUUGUCGUAAAUUUUAGAUUGAAACUUUUGUAAGUUUUUCUAAUUUUGGUGUUGGUUUUUGUUGUUAAGAAUCAAGGAAUGGGUGGAGAAGGCGGCCUUAUCGGCGGGGCUGGUCUCGGAACACUAUUCAAUGCGCUGUAUGAGGGCCUCGGGGAGCUGAUUGCCAAGAAUCUAGUGUUUAAGCCCCUACUCAAAAACAUCAGGUUAGACUCUUUGGAGCCAUUGUUGAAAGAUAUAGAAGAAUCCAACAAGAAAUUGGAUCUUCCGGUUGUGGAACUGGAAAACUUAAAAGCACAUUUGGAGGAGGGCAUAGAGCUCCUUCGAAAGUGCAAAAAGAUUCGAUGGUGGAUCGUCUACAAAAGGUACAAAUACGCCACUAAGCUGAUUCGAUGGGAUAAAUCUCUUCAACGAUUUCUGGAAAUACUAAACGUUCAGGGAAUAAGGGAUGUGAAGGACAGCACGGUUUCGGUGAAGAAUAUAGAGAAGCUGGUCAGCAGAAUUGAAUCGAAUAUGGGGAUACCAAAACAAACCGACAGUGAAGCUUGGUGUGCGGUACCUGAACUUCCCCCGCUAGUGGUUGGAUUGGAUUUUCCUCUCAAGGAAUUGAAGAGGAAGCUUCUAAAGGACGAAAACGUGUCAAUGGUUGUGCUGACUGCUCCCGGAGGAUGUGGAAAAACCACUCUGGCUACAAAGUUUUGUCAAGACAAGGAUGUCAAAGGUAUCAUAUAUUAUAAGUUGGCACUCGGAAUUGUUUAUAUUUUUUUUCUUUGUACAUUCAUGGCAGAUUUAAAUGACGCCCCAAUGACUGAUUAUUAUGUUUUCAUUGGACAGAUACAUUCAAGGAGAAUAUCUUCUUCGUCACGGUUUCAAAAAAGCCUAAAUUGGAAAAUAUUGUUCAAGAUUUAUAUCAACGCAAGGGUUUCCCGGCACCUACUUUCCAAAACGAAGGCAGUGUAGUGACGUGGCUGCAACAUUUUCUGAGGGAAGAAGGGCAGAAUCCUUUACUGAUUGUCCUGGAUGAUGUUUGGUCUGGAUCAGAAUCCCUUCUGGAGAAGUUUGAUCAAUUCAAAACGGAAAAUUUCAAGUUUUUGGUGACAUCUAGGUCUGAAUUUCGGGGAUAUGGUUCCCCUUAUUAUUUGCAAUCAUUGGAUCAUGACAAUGCGAUGAAACUUUUUCAUCAUUCAGCAUCCCUUGGAGAUAAGAGCUCUCAUAUUCCAAAAGAUCUUCCGGAAAAGGUACUUUUUAGUUGCAAUGCACAACAUGUAUAGUAAAAAAUUGGUUGACUUGGUUUAGGAAAAUUAUGAACAAAUUAUGUUCACUUUACGCAAACCAUCCACAAUCGAGUGAAUGAACACAUCCAUUUACCAUAAUUACUUGUGGACUAAAACUAAAAUUAGAAUACUGUAUAUAGUUAUUUAACCAUUUUCUCAUCUUAGUAACUUGAAUUUUGGCUCUGCAACUUAAAAGGUAGUUGACUUUGUUUUGGAAAAUUAUCCUGCAGAUAGUUGAGCGUUGCAAGGGAUUUCCACUUGCUAUUACAGUGGUGGGGAGAUCACUUUGCGGGGAGCCUAUUGAGAUAUGGCGCGAAAGAGAACUCGAAUGGUCGAAAGGAUUUUCUAUUCUUGAUUCAGAGACUGAAUUGCUGCUCUGCCUUGAAAGAAGCUUGGAUGCCGUUGAUAAAGAAAUCAUCAAGGAAUGUUUCUUAGACUUGGGUUCAUUUCCUGAAGACCAAAGAAUCCCUGCUGCUGCCCUCAUUGAUAUCUGGGCAGAGUUAUAUGAUGUGGAUACAGAUAUAGAGUGCAUUGCAAAUCUCUACGAGCUAACCAAACGAAGUCUAGCUAAUCUUGUUGUUACAAGGUAUAGAGUGCAUACUUUCUUUUUUCUUGUACGAUAUUUUUGCUCGAUUUUCCCUUUUAUAUUCAGGACUACUUGAUGUUGAUAACUUGUUAUUGCAAUAUGUUGGUUGAAGAAAUCUCUUCUAAGAAAAUUAGUUUUGAUCAUCACCAGGAAGGACAAGACUGAGGGGGACUGGUACUAUAGUGAGCACUUUGUUACCCAGCAUGAUGUUCUUAGGGAGCUGGCUAUCUACAACACAAAAACAGGACCGGUAGAACAUAGAGAAAGACUGAUUAUUGACAUAUGUGGAGACAAACUUCCAAAAUGGUGGAGAGAACAGAAGCAUCAGCCGAUGAAGGCCCGCUUAUUAUCCAUAACAACUGGUUGUUCCAUCGCUCCCUUUCUCUUUAGCAAUUAUGUAGACGCACACAAAUAAAUAGUCAUUCUUACACAUGCACGUCCAGCCGACCCCACUUAGUGGGAAAAGGCUUUGUUGUUGUUGUUGUUACACAUGCACGCCCGUGUGCAUUUAGUCUUAAUAGUACUUUCAUUUUAGUUUCUCAUCCCGACACUCACAGUUGUUACUCUGCAGAUGAAGGGUUUUCUUCAAAAUGGCACGACAUGCAAAUGCCACAAGUUGAGGUUUUAGUGUUGAAUUUCCAGACAAAGAACUAUGCCUUACCCAACUCCGUGGUGAACAUGGAUGAAUUGAAGGCUGUGAUAGUCACAAAUUAUGGUUUCUUACCUGCUGAAUUAAGUAACUUUCAACUUUUGAGUUCAUUACCAAAUCUUAAGAGAAUCAGAUUAGAACGCAUCUCAAUUCCUUCCAUAACCAAGAAUCCCAUACAUUUGGCGGGUCUGAAGAAGAUAUCCUUGUUCAUGUGUAACAUUGGUGAAGCAUUCAACAACUGUGCCAUCUCAAUCUCAUCAGCAUUCCCAAAUCUAGAGGAAAUGAACAUCGACUAUUGCAGUGAUUUAAUUGAAUUGCCCUCCGAGGUUUGUGAUCUUAUUAAAUUAAGGAAGCUCAGUGUCACUAACUGUCAUAAGCUAUCUGCCUUGCCUGAAGGGAUUGGAAAUUUGGAAAAUUUAGAAAUGUUGAGGCUAAGAUCCUGCACAGAACUGUCGAAGCUUCCAACCUCGAUGAAGUACCUUGGAAAGGUAAACUUUCUUGACAUAUCUGAUUGCUUCAGCAUCAAGGUGUUGCCCGAAGACAUUGGUGAAAUGAGUAGUUUAAGAAAGAUCAACAUGAGACAAUGCUCAAGGUUGCAAGAGCUGCCUCCAUCAGUCAUGGGUCUUGAGCAGUUAAAGGAAGUGGUCUGUGAUGAAGAAACAAAAUAUUUAUGGGAACCCAUCUCAUCGUAUCUCAAGAACGUAACGAUAAUUGUGGCCAAAGAGAAUAUGAACCUAAAUUGGCUCCACAAGACUCGGUUCUGAUGUGUUUCCCCAGUGAACCUUGCUCUUCAACCUCUGUGUUGGUUUGUGUUUUUAAUGAAACUUUUAAACUCUACUGUAACAUGUACGAAUAAGAUCAUGACCAUAAGUCCUAAGGCCUGCUAUUUGUUUCAGAUUCGUAUAGUAAAGUGCUAAUGUAAAAAGAUAUACUUAAUCCUUAUUUGUGGAGGAUUGAAUAAAAGUAUGAAAACUGGUUUUACAUUUUGUAUACAAUAAGGUAACUUAUUCAGUAUUGAAUAAGGAUUCUAAUAGGAGAAUUACAUGGAUUGAUUGUGUAUAAAUAGUAGCCUAUGUUCUCACAAAACAUACGCUCAGUAUUUUGGGAGGUAUACUAAGGCAGGUCAAUAGAAAGGACCUUUUGCUCUUUAUCUGGAGAAACAUGGCAUCGUGGCACAAUAUACGACACCUAGAACGCCACAACAGAAUGGAGUCUCAUAAAGAAGGAACAGAACUUUGAUUAGGAUAGUAAGGAGCAUGGUGUCUAGAGCUAAACUUCCAGCAUUCUUAUAGAGAGAAGCACUCAAAACAGCAACUUAAAUCCUCAACAGGGUGCCAACCAAAGCUAUUUCACAAAUCCCUUUUGAAAUUUGGACUGGAAGAAAACCAAAUUUUGAUUAUUUUCAUGUUUGGGGUUGCAAGGUUCUAUAAUCCACAUGAGCAGAAAUUAGAUGCAAGAACUCAAUCUUGCUAUUUUGUUGGCUACUGCGAAAAGUCCAAAGGGUUCAAGUUUUAUGAUCCACAAGCUCAUUCGAGAAUUCAAGAGUCACACAAUGCUGUUUUUCUAGAAGAUCAAGAUGUGGCAUAUUUGAAUCAAGAUGAAUUUAAUUUUGAGGAACUAAUCUCGGAUGAAUAUGUCUCUCCUGCAGAAAAUUACAAGAUUCUUUCCAUAUUCCUGCAAAAGAUUAGUCCAAAUGAAGAAGAAGAUCAUCAAAUGGCAGAUUGUGGACUUGAAACAAAAACUACAUUUGAUCAGACUCGGUUGGAAGAUCAUGUUGUGCAAAAACAACAACAAAUUGAAAGUUCAGAAGCACCUCGAGCUGAACCUGAAUUAAGAAAAUCAACAAGAACAAAUAAGUUAGCCAUAUCAAAUUAUUAUGUCUAUUUGCAAGAAUCUGAGUAUGACAUAGGUGAUAUUGAUGAUCCCAUCACCUACAAUCAAACUAUAGAGAGCUCACAAUCAAUCUUAUAGGUCAAUGCAAUGAAGGAGGAAUUAGAAUCGAUGAGCAAAACAAAGUCUGGACAUUGGUUGAAUCUAAUUCCAAAAUCAAGCAUAUAGGUUAUAAGUGGGUUUAUAAAACCAAAUGAGACUCUCAAGGCAAAAUUGAAAGAUACAAAGUUAGAUUAGUUGCAAAAGGGUUCACUCAAAGAGAAGGUAUUGACUACAACGAUACUUUUUCACAUGUAUCAUCAAAAGAUUCCAUGAGGGUCACAAUGGCUUUGACUGCACAUUUUGAUUUGAAGCUGCAUCAGAUGGAUGUCAAGACCACCUUCCUUAAUGGAGAGCUACACGAAGAUAUUUAUAUGAGGCAACCAAUUGGAUUUGUUGAAAGGGGGAAGGAAGAUAUGAUUUGUAAAUUAAAUAAGUCAAUUUAUGGUCUCAAACAAGCUUCAAGGCCAUGGUAUCUCAAAUUUGAUCAAGUGGUUAAACUCAUGGUUUCACUAAAAACAAGUUAGACGACUGCAUCUAUCUCAAGUUCAGUGGAUCAAACUUAAUUGUUUUGGUGCUAUAUGUCAAUGACAUAUUACUGGCCAGUUCUAGUUCUAAAUUACUGCAGAACACUAAGUCCAUGCUUAGUGUUAAUUUUGAUAUGAAGGACCUUGGUGAAGCUCACUAUGUUCUUAGAAUAGAGAUUGUGAUAGACAGAAGGUGGAGACUUUUGGGUUUAUCUCAGAAAGGCUAUAUUGAUAGAGUGCUAACUCAGUUCAACAUGGAGCAUUGCAAUGGAGGCCACGUUCCUGUCAACAAAGGUGAUAAAUUCAUUAGAGCACAAUGUCCCAAGAGUGAAACUGAAGUGAAAAAGAUGAGAGACAAACCUUAUACCUCAUUGGUGGGUAGUUUGAUGUAUGCAAAUGUUUGUACGAGACCUGAUAUUGCCUUCAUUGUUGGCAUCUUGGGUAGGUUUCAAUCAAAUCCUGAUGAAGCUCAUUGGACUACGGCAAAUAAGGUAUUGAUAUAUCUGCAACGAACCAAGUCUUUCAUGCUCAUGUAUGGCAGAGAUCCACAGCUAGAAGUCACUGGAUAUAUUGAUUCAGAUUUGGCUGGAGACUUAGAUAAAAGAAAAUCCACUGGAGGCUAUGUCUUUAUGCUUGGAGAUUGAGCUAUUUCAUGGAAGAGUUCUAAGCAAUCUAUUAUAACAACAUCUACCAUGGAAGCAGAUUUUGUAGCCUGUUUCGAAGGCAGCAAGCAAGCUAUUUGGCUCAAAAAUUUCAUAAGUGAGUUGAAGAUAAUGGAUUCAAUUCAAAAACCGAUGAAGAUGUUUUGUGACAAUACUUCGACUGUGUUUUUCUCUAAAAACAAUAAGAGGACUUCUGCUAGUAGACUGAUGGAUGUAAAAUUUUGAAAGUUCAAGAAAUGGUGAAGGAAGAAGCUAUAGAAGUACAACAUCUGAAUACAAAUCUCAUGGUUGCAUAUCCUUUGACUAAAGCUUUACCAAUUGGAGUUUUCAAAGCUUAUGUUACUCGAAUGGGAGUGCUGGAAUCUUUUGAUCAGUUGGAGUAGUUGCUGGUACAGAAGUAUUGAAGGUGAUGACAUCUUUGUAGGUUUAUAAGUUGAGUUAUUAGUUAGUUUUGCUUCAAUUAUUUUGUUUCAACUAGUUUUAUGUUUUAGCUAGUUUUGAAUAAUUGAAUGUUUUCAUUUGGGUUCAAUUUUUCCAGAUUAUCUGUGAUGAAUUGUUCUAGAAGACAAAUUUUGUUUUAUGGUUCUUAUAAUGCUUUAAAGUCAGUCUUUGAUUUGAUAAAGCAGUUGGUGGAAUUAUAAAGUGUUGUUCAUAGUAUUACUUAUGAUCUUUCGAGAUUUUGGUUUGAGUAAUUACUUGGAUUAUGUAUCAUGUUAUUCAAGUGGUUUGAAUAUUGAGAUGAUUACGAUUUAGUAUCAUGUGUUGAUGUUAAAUGUUUUGGCUUCAAAAGUGGGAGCAAACUUGUUUUGAGUUUGUCUUUAAUCAGUUGGUUCACAAUGUUACAAGGGUGCAGAUUUAGUAUUUGUGAUUUUGAAAUUAGCCCUAUAUUGUAUCAAGAGUGUGAAUUUCUGGAUUCAAUACUUUGAAAUGCAUUGAUAGAUUGUUUGUGAUGUAGUAAUUUUUCAUUGAGAUUUAGUGAUCACUUCUAUAAUGAUAUGAAUUAUUGUGCGAUGGUUUUGGGUCAUGAUCAAGUGGGAGAAUGUAAGAAUAUGAUCAUGACCAUACGUCCUAAGGCUUGCUAUUUGUUUCAGAUUCGUAUAGAAAAGUCUCAAUGUAAAGAGAUAUACUUAAUCCUUAUUUGUGAAGGAUUGAAUGAAAGUAUGAAAACUGGUUUUAACACUUUGUAUACAAUAAGGUAACUUAUUCAUUAUUGAAUAAGGAUUAUAAUAGGAGAAUUAUAUGGAUUGAUUGUGUAUAAAUAGUAGCAUCUGCUCUAACAAAACAUACUCUCAAUAUUGAACUAAGAGUCUAAGACCUAUUGUUAGUUUGAGUAUUAUUGGUUUUGACAGAGAGGAGAAGAUCUGCUACUUGUUUGCCCAUGGCUCCAUCUUCUACUGUUGCUGCAGGUUAGUUUAUAUUCCAUCUUCUCUAGGAGGUUUAUUCAUUCUUACAUAACAUGGUUUCAGAUUCAAUCUCUUUGUACAGUUUCUUGACUUUUUUGUUUAGAAAUCUGUUUCUGUAAUUCAACACCGCAAUCUCAUUCAUGCUCUCCCAAAAUAAAUUCAAUACCACAAGGUUGAAGAGUCUUCGUAAGAUAAGAACUUUCAUGUCACGGGAUCAGGUGUUAAUCUGAUUGUGGGUAAGUUUAUGCGGUAUCUAUACUAACGUCAACAGGUCAAGUUUACAGAACUGUUCACAUAUGGUCUAGAUGAAUUGCCAAAUCUAGAGGAAUUGAUUGGUUAUCGACUUCUAAUCAACAUAGAAGUCAGUGACAAAGUAGAUAAUGAAUAACAAUAUACUUCAGAAGAAAAUACUCAAAUUCAAUACUAUAGAGAAUUAAUAACAUCCAUUAUACAUUAAAAAAAUACACAAAUUUAAUACUUUGUAACAUAAGAAGAAGGCACAACUGAAAUGUCACAACUAAUAAUCCAUUGAGUAAAUUGUAACAAUGGUCUCUCAACUUUAAUCAAAUUAGAGCAAUGGUCCCUUAACUAAAAAUUCAUUAUCAUUGGUCCCUCAACUUAUCAAAAUGUGUAACUAUAGUCAUUUUCAUCAAUUUCGUCAAAAUUUUGUCAAAAUAAGUUAUGUUGGAAUAACCAUUUAUAUAAUUAGGGUCCCUCAACUCAUCAAAGUGUAAUUAUGGUCCUUUUCGUCAACUACAUCAAAAAUUUUGUCAAAACGAGUUAUGUUAGAAUGAUCAUUGCUACAAUUGGGUUAGAGUUAAGGGACAAUUUCUGAAUUAAAGUUGAGGGACCAAUGAUAAUGAAUUUUUAGUUGAGAGACUAUAGCUACACGUUGUGAUGAGUUGCGGGACGAAUGGUAAUGGAUUUUUAGUUAAGGGACCAUUGCUCCAAUUGAGUUAAAGCUAGGGACUAUAGCUACAAUUUACUCUAAUCCAUUAGAGUAUGUCAAUACUAUAAAAAAAAUUAAAAAAAAAAUUUUUUAAAUGACUUGGCUUUGUAAUGGGAGGGACACUAAGAAAUUUCACAGCUAAGAAUCAAUUAGAGCAUGACAAUUAGGUAAAUGAGGAGGUUCUCUUUGUAUAAACUAUAACAAAUAAUUGUACAUUAGAAAGAUAGUUGAUAUUUUCAAUAAAAAGAGGCAUAUUUGUCGAUUUGCCAUCUGAACUUGUAUGGAGCUGCCAAUUUCCCCAUAAACUUUAAUUUUAGCCAAUUACGCUCUUAAACUUUUAUAAUUAGCCAAUUUUCCCCUUGAAUUUUAAUUUUAGCCGAUUACCCCUAAACCUUAAUCAAUAGACAAUAUUCCCCCUAGCGUUAGAUUUUAAAAAAUUUCAUCUAAUUUUCCAUCCAUCUUGAUAAUGGAAACAACACAUAACAACUGUAUAAGGGUAAGAAGGAUGAAAAAUUGAAUAUAAGUUUUUAAGAUCUAGCGCCAGGGCGGGAAUUGGCUAUUUAUAAAAGUUCAGGGAGAGUAAUCGGCUAAAAUUUAAGUUCAAGGGGGAAAUUGGCUAAUUAAAAAAUUUUAAGGGCGUAAUUGGCUAAAAUUAAAGUUCAGGAAGAAAUUUGGUAGCUACAUACAAGUUCAGGGGCAAAUCAACAAAUACCUCUAAAGAGAGAGCUGAUUUUUAUUAAUCAACAUUGAAGUUUUUGUGUAUAAACUAUGAAGCCAUAAGGGAAUUAUGCUAUAGUCUCCUCACAUAAAAUUCUCAACUCUAUCAUUUUCCGUGAACCUAUAAUUCACACAAAUGAGGAUCAGUUUAUUAGGGGAUAUAUGAUACACCUAAAUGAGAUCAAUUCAUAUGUGCAUUAAACGUGACAGAGUCAUUGUACAAUUUAAAUUUAAGAAAAGAAAACUAUACUUUCAAGACAUAAAAAGUUUAUUAAUCAACAUUAAAAAAUGUAUGCAUAUUCUAUGAAAAAAUAAGGAAAUUAUACUAUGGUCUCCUCAUAAGAAACUCUCAACUCCGUCAUUUUCGUGAAUUUGUGAUACACGCUAAAAUGGAAUGAAUUCUUCAAUGAACUUUUGAUCAUGUAAAUGAGACAUAUUCGUAAGUUUAUAAAAAAAAGGAAAACUAAUGAAAAGACUUGAAAAUUUUGAGUUUUAAUGAUAAGGACAAAAUAAAGGGUAAAGUGAAUAGUACCAGGUUUGACUUUUUAGUGUAAAAAUGUGAUUUUUCGUUAAAGUGAACAGUACCGUGGGUUUUUCGUUAAAACUCCCUAUAAAAAAUGAUGAAGCUUAUGUGAGUGGACCAGAAUACAAUUUCCUGGUGUUUUCAUAGCAUAUGCACAAAAAAUUAAUGUCGAAAAAUAAGUUUUUUUUAAUGUAUAUAAGUAUAAUAUUUUCUCAUCUUCUAGUACAAGUUUUGUGCCUAUUCCACAAAAACAAAAACAAAAAAAAUAAAUAAAUAAACUUACAUUAAGCCUUCGAAUUCUAUUUUCCAACAUUAAGCCUAUGAAUUCACUCAGAAUAUAAAAAAAAAUUGCCUAAUAAAUAUAGACUAAUCAUAUUAGCUAAAACAAAUAUACUUUCCCAUAACCCUCAUUUUUGUGCAUAUUCUACCAAAAUGAUAGAAAAUUAUACUAUGAUCUUUUCACAAGAAAUUUCCGACUUUGUCAUUUAUUGUUAACCCAUUAUUCACGCAAACGGGUUUAAUUUAUCAAAGGAAGUAUGAUACACAUUAGUGAGAUUUGAAAGCCCAUGUGAGUAGAGAAAUAUAUAAUUUCCUUAUGUUUUCAUAGCAUGUUCACAAAAAAAAUUAAUGUUGUUGAAUAAAUUUUAUAUUGUUGCAGUCCUAUUGAAUAGGAAUGUGAUUGUAUAAAUCCUAGUAAAUAUGGGAAUGUAUUUUAUAUUCCUAAUAGGAGUAUAUUACCUAUUAAAUGUUGUAAAGGGAAAGGUUUUUACCUAUCCUACUACUAUAAAUAAAGGCAUAAUGGGGUGGAAUAGAACACACCCACAAUUACACACAUCUCUCUUCUUCUCUCCAUGUGCCGCAACCCUUCUCUCUCUAUGGCCUCCAUAAUUGUUCAGUAAAUUAUGUCUACAACACGUUAUCAGCAUGCUCUUGACGUUGCGCUAAUGAGAGUUUAUUCUUCAAUCAGGGGAGUAUUACGUUUUAAUCAUUCUUUUUUAUGAUUAAUUUAUUAUUUUGAAUUAAUCUACAUACUAUUGAUUCAAUUUAAUUUUUCUGUGUUGAACGUGAUACAAUGCAUUGGAGAUGCAAUUCCGGCUUUCCGAGAAGAAACUUCUACAAAUUCAAAGGCUUUUAUUUGUUUUCUGCCAAUCAGGUACGCUUAAAAUAAAGUAAGAUAUUUGAAUCAACCUUGAAGCAUGAAAACAUUCCCCAUGAUGCAUGAACGCCCCUAUGUUUAUAUUUUCCUUCCAAUAUAUAUAUAUAUAUAUAUAUAUAUAUAUAUAUAUAUUGUAUAUAUUUAUAUAUCUGUAAAUAUAUAUAUUUGUUUCAUGCAUUACGCAUAUAUGCUAUGUGGAAUUUGUGAGUUAAAGAAUCAAAAUAAAUUAGAAGCAUAUUAGGGUUUGUAGAACCCUAACAAUUUCGAAAAAAAAGGGGAACUUGGAUGCAAAAACCAGGCCUCGGCCUGGACGUCACCUCGGCAAGGCAUGAAGCCCCACGCCCCAAUUUGCUGUCUUGGUCCGAAUACCAGCAAGCUUAUGCUUGCUGGGCUCUGUGAAGCCCUAAACCCGUAUGCACCCUAAACAUAUGGCUUGCAUGCCGCAACCUUUUGGUUGCUGGGAUUGUGCAGCAGCAAAGGGCAUGUAGCCCUGGCAUUCUGUCUACGCCAGCAAGCCAUACAGCUUGCUGGGCCUUGCAGCAACCUAGCCCGUGUCUUCCACUGCCAGCCCAAAUUGGUUGGGCUUAAGUCCUUGCGGCCCGUAUCCCUGCAUGACGCCAGCCUUGUGGUUGGGCCUCCUAGGCGCAACAACCAACAGGUCAGCUUUGCUAGACCUGCACCGUGCCCCCUUGGUCCAAGUAUGAAACCCAGCUGUGGUUGGGGUUUCUCCCAUCCACCCCGUGGCCUGCAGCCACCAUCCAAUGACCUUUGGGCCGUGUCUUAUGCUUAAGACACCCACCCAUGCCCACAUAUUUUUGGGGCAUAUUUUUUAAUAAAAUGCUAUUAUUUAUCAUUUUAAAUAAUUUUAACCCGAAUGUUAUUAUUAUUUUUGCUUCUACAAUUGACCCUGUUUGGUCCCGAUUUAUUGAAUUAAUUAAAGUGACCUGCAAUCCAUUAAUUUGAUAAUGAAUCCAAAAUUAUUGACCUGAAGAUCACUUUUGGAGGUUAACGAUUCAAUAAUUUAUUUGUAUACUUUGAACCGUUGACUUACUUUCUUAGUCCCGAAGCACUUACACUUGAGUUCCCGAAGAACCUCAGAUCCACUACACUUAGUUGUAUAUUGCAUUAUGUGUUCUUCCAGGAACCUCUCUUUUAUGAACUAAACGUUCAUAAACUAAAUUGAACCUGUAGUUUCAAAUUUAGUGCCUUUGAAACUCGAAGAUUUCAUAAAACAAUACACCCAUGAAAACCCGACGUUUUCAUGAAAACCAUGGCUUAGAACUCGAAUGUUCUAACUUUGAUGCUUAUGGAUGAUUCAUUCCCAUAGCACCAAUCACAAUCUUGUUAUGUCCAAUUCAGUGGAUUAUCGAACCGUAACAAAUUCGAUUUUCCUGAUUUGGACGUUUCUAAAAGAAAACACUUUAUGUGGGGUACAAGACGUGAAUCUCCACUUGACUAUCAAGAAGCUAAGAAACCAUUGAAGCCAACAAUGGCAUGGAAGAGCUGAAUAAGCCUCUUCCAUGAUCUUCAUUCGAAGACUUAUGCCCAAAGCAUUACAAAUGGAAGUACCUCUUGCAUGAGGAUUCCAUGGCUCUUUGGCUCGCUCCUACAGACUGUUUAAUCAUGAAAGACAUUGCCUGAAGCACAUCAUGAUUAAGUCCAUGAAUGAAUACAAUUCUGAAGUUUAUAAAUCCGAUCGAAUUUUGACUGGAGAAUACUUUUCUCGUCCUUCCAUGUUUCUCACUCGCUCCUGAGGCAGCAGUGUAGAAAGCGGAAGUUUACCAAAUUCUCGGAUCUGAUUACUACCACAAAUGUGAGAGAACGGUAUAGAACCAGUUAGGUCAAAGCCUAACUAAAUGGUGAUGCACUGCUUCGGCAAGGGAUACACCAAAUGGCAUACUCUUUCACAUCCAAAUUCGAGUUUGUUUUUACAACAUAUGGUAGAAUCAAGGCCUGCCAAGGUGUGGCAUCAUGCCCGAAGCAUGAUCCUUGGUACCUUAGACCUAAAACUUCAAGAACAAGGGAUAUUAUUCCUAAACUUUAACCCUGCAUAAUCUACUUCCGUCUUACUGGAAUAGAUCAUUGGUUAUGCACAUGUUCGUGCCCCUGUUGUUGAGGAGUACCAUUCUAGUAGUUAAUAUGUGAGACUAAUUUUGCUCCACCAAACACCGUUGGAAUAGCAAAAUUUUGACAUGGAUGACCUUGUUGGCCAAAUCCCCUUAAUAAACCAUUUACUUUGUGAACAAUUUUCCAUGUUCUUUGAUUCACGUUUGGUGUAUGUUUUACUUAUGGAUAAUCUUAUUGAUAUUGUCCUCGAAUAUGAGUUAAUUGAAUCAUGUUUCUUAAUACAUGUGACCGAUUCAACUAAACACGUGAUUAGGUAGGAAUGUCAGAAAAUUAGUUGUCUGGAUGAAUCCGUACUACGCACACUAACUUUACACCUAAAUCACAUCUCUAACAACGACUUCAAGUCUAUCCAACCUGAUUAAGAGCAUUGGCACGCUCCUCAUUGUAUGAAUGGUACUAAAUCACCAUUUAAGGGACUUUAAAUUCUCCCUAACGUUGAGUUUUUAAGGAUAUUCGAGAUGACAAUGAUCAUAAAUGAAACCAAUGAAGAAAAUAGAGUGAAAUAUCUUUGCACCACCUCUAAAAAUGAGCCUACAGCUUUGAUUUAGGGCCAAUGGGUUGUCUCCCAACUGGGAACACGACACAUAUGGCCAGCCCGGAGCCAGGUGAUUGAGCAGUUUACUUGCUUUGGCACGAUCUUUUGGGACACUUAGGUCGAACAAUGAUGCUACAACGCAUCUCCUUACUUAAAGUAAGGAUCUUGUGCCUACAAGCACACUUUGCGAAGCCUGCUCAUUAAGAAAAUUGAUUUUCUAUAUCAUUCCUUGCAAAGAUACGACACGACUCUCUUUUCGUAGUGGAUUCAAGGGAAUAUUUGUGGACUAAUCCAACCAAAAUGCGGACCAUAUAAAUACUUAUGGUUUUGGUUGAUGAAUCGACAAACUGGUCACAUGUUUGUCCACAAACAUUACUGCUAAACCUCAUGGCCGAUUAAGAGUUCACCACCCUACUUAUCACUUAAGGUCCGGGAGACUGGAUAAUGUCGGAGAGUUUAUAUCGAUGGUUUUCGAUAAAGUAUUGCAUGUAUUUUGGGUUUAUAAUUGAACAUCAAAUUCCCAUGUUCACCCUAAAAUAGCCUCACCUAGCGAUCAUAAAGCACAAUUUAAAUGAUCACCCGAAUUUUGGUAAACGUGCCAAGUUUUCGGUUUCUACCUAGGGCUAUGCAAUCCUUGUACGCAGUUAUGUUGGCCGCCUUGAGGCCCAUUGCCACCCAACCUAUAUGACGUUAUAGUUGGUUACUGGGUACGAACCUGACAAUUUCGUAUUUAGGCAUUUGGGUGUGCAUUCUAUGUGCCAAGUUACGCCGCCGCAACGUACCACCAUGGGUCCUCAAAGAAGGAUGUGUAUCUUUUGUCGAUCAUGAUUCUCUUUCACACUAGCUCUCUUCGAGCCCUUGCAUGUGAUCUUUUUACCGUUCAUUUGCGGGUUGUCACUUUAAUGAGACAGUCUUCCCACCGUUAGGGGGAGAUAAGAACGUCAACGUUCAUGGAGAACGGCACGAAUUUGCGUGGACGUUGCCCACUAUGUCUCAUCUCAGUCCCCAUACCGCACAAGUAUGAUAAGCAAAUGCGAUGACUUCUAGAUUUCAGAAUCUUGCUCCAUAUGCAUUCAUCUGAUCUAGCUAAAUUGACGAGAUCAUAUACCAGCAACAAACAUGCCUACAAGGAUAGACGUACUUAACGGACGUCGAGUCAACAUCCCUGGAGGGUGUGCCACCCCUGUUGGACAGUUUGGACGCCUCUGUUGGACAGUCCUGUACACCGACGGAUAGCCAAUCAAUCUGUCUUGGCCUGGAGCACGACAGAUCAUUCGGUUCGUAGGAUUCACUUCCCUAAAAGAGGAAGAUAUGGCACAAUAAUGAAUCUAAACUCGAUCGCUAUCUCAAAUCAUUUCCAUCUUAUGAGAUUAAUCUGGAUUUCUCCCAAGACUUAAAGUUCUUGGUCUAGUAUACUAGUUUGGAUGAGCUAAAUGGAAUUGAAAUGAGAUUAUCAUCGAUGAUUUUUUCACUUAUAUGGUAGCUACCGACAUAAAUGAAAAGCGACGAUAUCAAACCGUGUUUCGUUGAUUAAAUGACAACGUAGAACUGAUUGGACAACUGAAAUUACAAUCUAGGUCAAAUUCCUUACCAAAGUGUGUAUUGAACCUGUCGUUCCUACACUGCCCAAGGUAACCCUAUUAUAUUACAAGUGGGAAAGGAAGCGUUAUGAGAUGAAUGAAAUAGUGCAAUAUGAUGCACGUCCUGUGAUUGAUAGCAGCAUUAUGAAAUAUGGUUAGUGUUUUCUCCAUGGGGAUAUAGAUAUGGAGAUUUACAUGUAAGUUCCUGAAGAAUUACAUGGACUGUUUCAAAUAGUUCCAAAACCGCGGAACACAUUCUUAACUCGUUUUAAGGCGUUCACUUAUGGAUUGAAAAAUCUGACGGAUGUGGUAUACCCGUCUAAGUGAUUAUUUGAUCAAUCAGGGAUAUGAAUUAUGCCCUUACAUGUUAAACUAUGAAGUCUUAUUCCAAAUUGCUAGAGUUACAUUUUAUGUCGUUGACACGAAUUUCACUAAGACUUCGGAAGAGCUUGAGAAAACUGCCUCGUACCUGAAUAUGGAAUUUGAGAUGAAGGAUCUUGGGAAAACUCGUUUUAUGCCUUGACUUGAAGUUGAAGCAUUGUUAUGACGGUAUUUUGAUCUACCAGUCGAACUACACCCUGAAUGUGUUACCUUUGAGUAUACCUAUGAUCGUCCAUAUGUUAUAAGCAAAUGAGACCCUUAAAGAGGUUAUGGAAUCCGAAAUUCCAUAUCUAAGUUCAACUUUGCGCUUCGUUGUACUUAGCUCAUUUUAUUUAGACAUAACAUCUCCAUCAUUGUUGAUCUUGGUAAAAAUGCAGCACUGUGCCUACACGCAACCACUGAAUUGGUAUUAAAGACGUACCCUGAAGGUACUACAUGGGCAAAUCCCAACGCAUCUUAGCAGAUCCAACCCCUCUGAUCCUCGAAAUGAUGUUUGCCUUGUUUGUUAUACUGAUGCAGGUUACUUAUCAAACCCGCACAAAGUAUUUUGGUGAUUGAACUAUUUGAUGUUUGGGGUAUAGACUUCAUGGGACCUUUCCCUUCUUCACAUGGCAAUCUCUACAUCUUGGUGGCGGUUGAUUAUGUCUCUAAGUGGGUGGAGGCAAUAGCUUCUCCAACAUGCAAAAGUUCUGUGGUGUUAGGUUUCUUGCAGAAUACUAUUUUUCCCCGAUUUGGAGUACCUCGUGCUAUCAUCAGUGACGAAGGUACGUAUUUCUUAAACCGCACCAUGGCUGCCCUUUGUGCCAAGUAUCAUAUUCACCAUCGCAUAGCCACCCUAUAUCAUCCACAAACAUCUGGACAAGUUGAAGUAUCUAAUCGGGAGCUCAAGAGGAUUCUUGAGAAAACUGUCAGUUCAUCUCGAAAGGAUUGGAGUUUAAAGCUUACUAAUGCUUUGUGGGCAUAUAGGACAGCUUAUAAGACACCAAUUGGGAUGUCUCCUUUUCGUUUGGUGUAUGGGAAAGCUUGCCAUCUGCCUAUGGAACUUGAGCACAAGGCAUAUUGGGCUAUUAAGCACCUCAAUUUUGACUACCAAGCAGCGGGAGAGAAGCGGAAGCUGCAGUUGAAUGAAUUGGAAGAAAUAAGGAAUGAUGUUUAUGAGAAUGCAAAGAUUUACAAGGAUAAGACCAAGAAAUUUCAUGAUGCUCACAUCCUUCGUAAAGAGUUUCAACCGGGUCAGAAGGUUUUGCUUUUUAAUUCGAGACUAAAACUAUUCCUAGGAAAGCUCAAAUCACGUUGGAAUGGUCCAUAUCGUGUUGUACAGGUCCAUCUUCAUGGGGCUGUGGAUAUCCAAAACAUGCAAACUGGUUUUGUCUUCAAAGUUAAUGGACAUCGCUUGAAGUUAUACAAGGAGUCUCUAUAUGAUCUUGCUAAGGAUUCCAUCACUUUGAAGGAACUUGUUAUUUGAAUCAAAUUGCCAACAGAAUGUCUAGCUCUAGACAGUAACUAAAGCGCUUCUUGGGAGGAAACCCAAGCUUUCUAUCUUUCAUCUUUAGUUUGAAUAAUUUUAAAUGUUCUUGUUCUGUUUUUUUUCUUGUUUUCUGGUUUGUGUGUUUAAGUCCUACUUUUGCUCCCUUAUGCAGGUAAUGAUUUUGCAAUCUCUACCACAACUUCUUGCAAAGUUUCUUAAUCCCACGGGUUACUCACACAUUUGUUAUGCAUAAUGGGACGUGUUGAAACAAGUUUGGGGAUGAUUUGGAAUUCUACCAUGGAACAAAAAUGCAUUUUUACUGCUGCUCUCCUCACCUACACAAAUUGGUGUGUUCUUUCCUUUUCUUUAUGUGUAUUGAUUUCAUUUUGUAUUUCUUUCCUUCAAUUUUUAUGUCUUAUUGUUAAAAAUUCCUUUCAUUAUCAUUGGGGACAAUGCUAUAAUUAAGUUUGGGGGUGGAAAUAUAUUUCAUUAGUUUUCUUCUUGUUUAAAAAAAAAAAAAAAAAGAAAAAAAAAACUAAUUAAAAAAAAAAUUGUAUUUUUGUUGUUGUUUGUGGGUAGUUCUCAAUUCAAUGAUGAGAUUUGAUCUUAAUUUCCUUCUUACUUCCAAGAAGUCUAAGUUAUUUUCGUUGUCUUUGUGUUAACUGUGAUUUCCAGCAAUCAACUUGAAAAAUAAAUGUGCCUAGUCUUGUCAAUGUGAAACUUGAGCAUGAUUUAGCGUUUCAUAUGUGAAUCAUGUGAGAUUAUGUAAACCUUGUGAGUUUUUUUAGUCUAUACAUGAUUGAACCAUUAUGCAUCAAUCUCAUUCCUUCUUGUGCGUAUGAUCUCACUGUACAUGUAUCUCUAGAACUUGCUUUAUAUUUCUCGAUUCAUUAAUCAAUUCAUGUAAUAACUUGGAAGUGAUAUAGGCCAUCUUUGGAUCGUUUGAGCCUUUCAUGCCUACCUUAUAUGUUAUGUGUGUCCGUAGUAGCCCGUUGAGCCUUUAACUAAGCCAUUUCUUUGUUAGCCACAUCUCUUUACCAUGCUCCGAUAUUGGAGUUGAGCCCAUACACAGAAAUCGAUUCCUAUUUGUUUUGAGAAAGUAUUACAUGGGUUGUGCUCUUGGGGGUUUCAUUUAUGUAGAAAGAUGGAUGGAGCAUGUGUAUUACAAUGAAAUGUGAAUUUGAUGGGUGAUGUAGCUUUUGCAUAUUUAUACAUAGCUUUGCAGAUUUGUUUCUUAAAAAAAAAAAAAAAGAAGAAGAAGAAAAAAAAAAGAAAAAGAAAAUUUGAGAGUGUUGAUUUGUUGAAAAUGUGUCUGCAGAGUAUAAAUUUCCUUUUGAAGUUGAAUUUGGGGAGUAACAAGUGCUCGAAGUUUUAUUAUUUUGCUUUCAAUUUGAGGUGGUGUGAUAUUGAGGUGUUGGAAAACUACUAAAGUGUACUUUCUCAAAAUUUUUGAUUUCCAUAUCCUUUCUUUCAUAUGCCUAUCACCUUUAGCCCCAUUACAACCGUAAUAAAGUCCUAUUGAUCCAAGGUAUUACUUAAAUAUUGAUAGCGAGUUAGGUGGACAAGCAAGCAUAUGGCGGCAUGUACAAUGAGAUCACUUGAGUGAAACACAUUAACCAAAACUUAUGAGUGAAUGAGCGUAUGUCUUGUGAGAAACUCACAUGUUUGCAUAUGAUGAUUUAAAGGAGCUUGGAAUUGCAUUGACUAGACUAGCUCACACAUGACAUUUCAAGUUUUGUUUGAAGGAAAUUUGGUUAACUAUUGGAUGAUGUAUUGAGCACUUGUUACUUACUUCUUGGCAGUGUAUUUCAUGGUUGGCACUUAUCUCUGAAAUCGAAUUUGAGAAGUUGCCUACUAAGUUGUUGAGUCAAGUCUUAGUUGAGUAGUUUUGUUUUGUUUUGUGUUUUGUUUUGCUAGAGGACUAGCAAAAAUGUAAGUUUGGGGGUAUUUAAUCACUCAUAUAUUUCAUGCAUUUAUACCAUCUAUUUCUAAAGUCUUUGUGAUGUUUUUGUGUUAAAAUGGUUGCAUUUUACCUUACCUUGUGUUAAUGUCCAGUUAAAUUUGCUUUAGGAUCAAUUUCAAGCAAAAAGGAGAAAAGAAAAUAAUAAAAACAAACAAAAGAAUUGGAAGUGAGGCUUGUCUUCCACUUGUGGCCUUAAUAACUUGGAAAAGAGGAGGGAACACACGGAAGUGGAAAAAAAAAAGAGAAAGGAAAAGGAAGGGGGAUUAUUCGGUUACCUAUAAAUAAUCAUCAUUUUAGUAGCCAUUGGUCUACCAUAAUUAAAUGAACAUAAUCCCACUAAGUUUCUCACAGAAUACUGACCCAAAAUUCAAAGUUGAAGAGAUCAUGUGAUGAGAACAAAUGAUGUCGCAGACCCAACAGAAAAGAUUGAAUAGAUUUUAAGCAUCAGUGAUAAGUCCACUAGCUAUUUUGGUUCAAUGCAGAUGGCUACACUCCUACUUUUUCCAUAAGCUUAAGCUAUUAGAAUGAAUUCUAUGUGUACGAAGGCUUGGACAAAGUGAAGAGCAACAGACGGACAGGAGAGCAGAAAAGAAGGAGAGGAAAAAGGAGAGAGUUGCAGGGAGAAGAAGAUGGCAGAAACAUAAGGGAGCCGCAGCUCCACAUGGAAGGAGGAGAAGGGCAGAUAGCUUCUUUGUAGAAAAAAGGGUUGUCUCUUUCUUUGUUUUUUUUUCAUGGAUAAUUUCUUAUGUAUUAAUACAAGUAUGUGUAACUAAUUUCUUUUCGCUAGAGUGAGGCCAUGAGCCGCAACAUGAAUACGUAGAUUUAUCUUUCAAUUGCUUAAGUGUUGUUACAUGCUUGCUUUGAUAUUUUCAAUCAUUGAAUUAAACUAUCUAUGUACCUUGAUGCUUGAUCACCAUUAGGAUGCUUAGAAAAGUUAUCGGAUGCAAUUUUGAACGAAUGUCACGUUAAAAUUGGUUGUGCUUCUUGUGAUUGAGGAUUGUACUCUCCUAAGGUAAAUAUCAUGCUCUUAGGGAUUACAUGGUUUAACAAAAGGAUUUUCACCAAGAUUAAUGAAUCAUUCAUGUUUAUAUUUAAUCCAAAUGUCAUGGAUAAGUUGCAUGUAGUGGUAUGUGUUUUAACUUGAAUGUCACAAGUAAAACAUACACAAGGAAAAUCCAACCUUCAAAGCAUGUGUAUUUUCAAUUAUUUAAGCAAUUGGAAUAGCUACGUAUGAGUGUUGUUGGUAAAGGUUGAACUCUAGCAUAUUGUCAAUCUAUUUUUCUUCAAUCAUUUAUUUUAUCUUGAAUUUCCUCAUUUACUUGUUUUGUUUAGUUGAAUCACUAUUCCUAUAAGCCAAUUCCCAUUUUAGAUAUUUGUUUAAGUCACAUCCAGUAGUAUUUAGUUUCGUCAAAUUAGUGUAGUUCUUAGAGUUAAAUAAGUUAAAUACACAAAAACUCGUAAAUUGUUUAUAUCAGUCCCUGAGGAGAUCGACCUUGCUUGAGCAAUUCUAUACUACAAACACUUGUUCUCUUGCAAGAAUUUUCUAUAGUUUAACCCUUGUUUUACAAGUGGAAAAAUCAUCAUCAUGCAACUUCUCACGUUUCUCCUUAGACUAUGGGUUUUUCUCUCACCUUAGGUUUUACCAUAGCGAGGUUUUGUGAGUUUUACUUUUUAUACAUUCUUCCGUUGAUUUGAGACUCGCAUUUGCUCAUUGUGCUAACAACUUCAUCAACUAUACUUGCUUCAUCACUGAAGACCAGAUGCGUCAUUUACUUGAGUAUUUACACACUCAAAGCGGAGUGUUGCAGUUCUAUUGGAAUAGGAAUGUGAUUGUGUAAAUCCUAGUAGAUAUGAGAAUGUAUUUUAUAUUUCUAUUCGGAGUAGAUUACCUAUUAUAUGUUGUAAUCCUAAAGGGAAAGGUUUUUACCUAUCCUACUACUAUAAAUAAAGACACAAUGGGGUGGAAUAGAACACACCCACAAUUACACAUAUCUCUCUUCUUCUCUCUAUGUGCCGCACCCCUUCUCUCUCGAUGGCUUCCAUAAUUGUUCAGUAAAUUAUGCCUAUAACAUAUAUGUAUAUAAUUAUAAUUUCUCAUCUUCUAGUAUACCAAAAGAAAACCAUAUAGUAGCACCUUCACAAUAAAUUUUCUAACUUACACUAGGCCGAUGAAUUUACUCACAACAAAAUAUUUUCUUCUUUAAACAGAGGGCAAUUUUGUUAUAUUUUGUCGAGUAUACUGCCGAUUUGCCCCCUGAACUAUCACCCAACUUUCGAUUUCCCCCCUGAACUUUUUAAUUGGAAAAUUAAGGACUUAAACUAAUUUUUUUGGCCGAUUUGCCCCCUGCUGUCAAUUUUUCAUUCAUUCCAUCCAAAUUUUUGUUAAAUAGAAGCAUAUGCACAACAUGUGUGGGUAGUUCGGUCGCUUCAUUCUUUAAAAUAAUUGAAAGCCUUAGAUUUCUAAAAUAUAAACCUAUGCAAAUAUGUGUGAUUCUAUAGCUUUUGUAUCUAAAGGUCUAGUGAAAUGACAUUUUUGUCCACAAAUGAGAGUUACGUGGUUUGCACAUGAUAAGAGUUAACAUUAAUUUGGAUGAAAUCUAUGAAAAACUAACUGUAGGGGGGAAAUUGGCCAAAAAAAAUUAGUUUAAGUCCUUAAUUUUCCAAUUAAAAAGUUCAGGGGGGAAAUUGAAAGUUGGGUGAUAGUUCAGGGGGCAAAUCAACAGUUUACUCUAUUUUGUCCCAUGCCAUGCCAUCAAUACUAAUUUCACAGGCUUGAGAAAUACGAGAGAGAAAUUUUCCAAAUUUCAGUUUUAGACUUAGUUUUAACUACGCCCAGUGGAGUUUGAUUUUCAUCUUACUAUGCUAUUGUAACUCAAAAAUCGUAAUUUUACUCCUGAAACUCAAAAUUAGCUCCACUUUACCCCUUGAGACUCGAUUUUGGAUCCCAUUUUACACCUUGAAACUUAAAAUUGUUAUUUUACUUUAUAAACCUCAAAAUUCGCUCUAUAUUACCUUAAUUUUGUUAUGUGAGAUGUUACUACACAGUGGAGAUUAAUUUUAUUUACUGUUGGUUUCAUUAUUUUACUAUAUAAAUUUUGAUUUUAAUAUUUUUUAUUUAUUAUAUAUUAACACAUAAUGAAGAUUUAUAAUCAGAGAUGGAUCUCACUCAAGACACUAUAGUUUUUUGAAUUUUAAAGUAUAAAAUAGUGACUUUCAAAAUUUCAGCAUGAUAAAAUAAGACCAAAAUUAAGUUAUAAGGUGGCUUCGUGUUUGUCCAACAUUUUGUUUUUUUCUUUGCAAUUUCAUCGAAGAAGUCGCUUUGGAAUCAUGAAAAGAAAAAACGCCAAAUCGUAGUUGCUUGUUAUUUCAACUUUUUGUAUUCUUUCCACCUUUCAACACACUUUCAUUUAUGUUACUCUGCCAUGCGUUGUCUGGGAUUGCAGGACGUUUCCAAGAAACGAUGCGGUAGAAUAAUUGAAGGCCGUCAGCUGUUUCCCAACCCUUUUUUAUGAGGACAAGGAUUGUCUGCCGUCCACUUCCGAUGUCCUUUUCGUGUCUUUUUAUUUUUUGUAAUCAUGGUUAAAUCACGUUAAUAUUUUAUAUUUUUUUUAUAGAUAUAAUAAGACAAAAAAUAUAAAAUGUUGACGUAACUUAACUGUGAUCAUACAAAUAAAAGGGCACGAAGAGGACAUCGAAAAUGGAGGAUAGACCAUCCCUAUCAUUUUUAUGGAUGUAUUUUUGCUCAACAUCUUCGAGUGAUGCUACGGAGACUCGCUCGUAAUGCAACUCUUCACCGAUUCACUAGACACGCAAGGAUUAUUUUAGAAUCUAUUGUGAUGUAUGGGUCCCACUAAUAAAAUAUAAAAAAUGAAGGUUAGAUUGAAAAACUAAGAUUUAAAUCCUCACCGGAUUCCUUCUUUAGGAAUCUAGGAAUCAACGCACGUUAACCGUUGGUAAAAAAUUAUAUAGAAAACUUCAUUUUAAUCCUUAAAAAAGAUAAGAUUUAGAUUAUAACCAUAUAUAAGAUUAAAAUCCAAUUUUAGUCCCUAGCACAUUUAAUCAUAUCAUUUAUUAGUUGUAUUUUGAUGUUUUAUUUUAUCUUUUUAUUUUUAUUUUAAUGUAUUAGUUACAUUUAAAUUUAAUUUAUAUUUCAUUCAUCAUAAUAUAUUUUAAUGUCUACAUUUAGGCAACUAAUUUUUUUUAUAAUAUAUAUUCCGAUAACAAUUUUGUAUGUUCUUCAUUUAGGUACAUUAAUACAUUUGAAUAUUUUGGUAUAUCCAUCGGUACAAACAUGUAGUUACAUUGAUUCAAUAUAAUGCAUUUUGGUCAAUAUAAUGUAUUUCGUUACAUACACUUUGGUACACAUAUUUGAGUAUUGACUUUUAGGUACAUUAAUUCAAUUAUUAUAUUUCGGUAAAUUCAUUUAGGUACAUACAUUUUGGUACUAAUAUUUAGCUACAUAUAUUUUUGGUAUUGAUAUUUAGGUAUAUACAUGUUGGUACAUACAUUUUAGUAUUAACAUUUAGCUACAUUAAUUCAAUAUAAUAUUUUUCGGUACAUACAUUUAGGUUCAUUAUAAUAUAUUUCGGUACAAUCAUGUCGGUACAAAUAUUUCAGUACAAAAAAGUCAAUUUUAUAUAUUUUGGCACAAUCAUUUCUGUACACUUAUGUAUUUAUAUAUUUUUGUAUCACAAAUUUCUUUUAAUAUUUUCUCAUUUACAUUCAUUUCUAAUUCAAAAAAACUAAAUAUGAGCAUAUUAAUAAAAUUAAAAUUUAAUAUGGAGAGAUUAAAUAAAAAUAAACAUUAAAUAACAAAAAUUGAAUGUAAAUUUUGAUAAAAGUACACUCAAGGGAUUAAAUUGAAUAUUUAAUCUAGCACCAGGUUUUUUUUUUUAAUUUUAAUCUUUUGCAAUGACUAAUGUUCAAAAACCCCAAAAUUAUAUGGCUCCAAUUAAAUGUUUUUUAUAUUUUUAAAAGUAAAAUAAUCUUGUUUUGCGUAAAAAAUGUAAGGCUUAAAUAUUAAAAUGGUCAAUGUGUUUUAGUCAUUAGGUCAAUCCAAUCCUUGUGUUUUCAAUUUGGCCAAGCUUGUCCUUGUAUUUAUCUUCGUUAGCCAAUUAAAGACAUUUUCAUCUAAUUUCAGUAAACUUUUUUUAUAAAUUAUGAUAAACUUAUUUAUAAAACUAUUUAUUUGAUUUAAAAUAUUUAAAAAUGAAAUAAAACUAAAAAUUUAAAGAAAAAUGAUUCUUCUUCCAAUUUUCCCACCUCCUCCCUAACAUUACCCUCUCUCUUUUCUAUGUCAAAACCUUAAUCAUUUUUCAGAUUGGAAGUUUUAUCUCUUAUAUGUGUUAUUUCUAAUUAAUUUGCAUUUUUAUGUAAAGAUAAAGGGUAAUAAUAUAUAAUAUAAUUGUUCUUAUGAUUUUUUUAAAAGAUAUUGAAUAAAAUGUCCUUAAUUGGCUAAAAGAGACAAACACGAGGACUAAAUUAGCCAAAUAAAAAACACGGAGACUAAAUUUUCCAUGUGACUAUAGCACAAGGAUCAUUUUGACAUUUAAGCCAGAAGGAAAAAAUUGUGGUCGCAUGAUUUUUUAUCAACGGUCUACAUGCGUUGAUCCCUAAGAUCCCCAGGGAGGGGAUCCGGCGAGGAUCCAAAUCCGAAAAAUUGUAUCUUUUGCCAUUUCCUUCUUCUGUGUCUUCCUCACCUCUCAAACGAUAAAUUUUGUUAGAUUAGAUGUUAGAUUAGUCAUUGUCAAAGUUCGACUCACGCCAUAAUUAUUUUCUCUAAUUGAGCUCUUGAAGUAUUUUUGUAUAAAACUAUAACGAAUAUUAUACAUUAGUAGUUGAUUGGCCUAAUUGGAUUAAUAGUUUCUGUAGUGAUAUGAUAGUUGGAAGAUAGCCUAUGUGGGGAAAAAAACUAGGAUUUAAGCCUAUGUGGUAAAGUCUAUUAGGAUUUAUGCCUAAAAUUGAAAGUUUUGUCAACUUUAUGUUAAUUAUUAGCACGUUCCACACAUGUUAGGCUAAAACGGAACUCUCCAUACACAUACUAAGCUAAAACGGACGUGCUAAUAAAUAACAAAAAGUUAACAGAAUUUUCAAUUUUAGGCAUAAAUCGUAACAAACUUUACCACAUGAGCUUAAAUCCUAGGUUUCGGUUUUAGACUUAGUUUGUAGCUACACCUAGUGGAGUUUGAUUUUAAUUUUAUUAUGCUAUUGUAACUCAAAAGUCACAACUUUACUCCUGAAACUCAAAAUUCGCUCUACUUUGCCCCUUGAGACUCUAUUUUGGAUCCCAUUUUGCUCAUUGAAACUUAAAAUUGUCAUUUUACUUUAUAAACUUUAAAAUUCGCUCCAUAUUACCUUAAUUUUGUUAAUUUUGUUAUGUGAGAUGUUACUGCACAGUGGAGAUUAAUUUUAUUUACUGUUGGUUUCAUUAUUUUACGCUAUAAAACCCGAUUUUAAUAUUUUUAUUUAUUGUUGUUAACAUAUAGUCAAGAUUUAUAAUCAAAUUUAUUGACACAUGUAGCGUAGUUUUAUUCAGGAAUGGAUCUCACUCAAGAGACUAUUGAGGUUUUUGAAUUUUAAAGUAUAAAAUAGCGACUUUCAAAAUUUCAGCAUGAUAAAAUAAGAUCAAAAUUAAGUUAUAAGGUGGCUUCGUGUUUGUCCAACAUUUUGUUUUUUCUCUGCAAUUUCAUCGAAGUCGCUUUGGAAUCAUGAAAAGACAAAACGGCAAAUGGUAGUUGCUUGUUAUUUUAACUUUUUGUAUUCUUUGCACCUUUCAAUACGCUUUCAUUUAUUUUACUCUGCCAUGCGUUGACUGGGAUUGCAGGACGUUUCCAAGAAACAAUGCGGUAGAAAAAUUGAAGGCCGUCAGCUGUUUCCCAACGGAUGUAUUUUUGCUCAGCAUCUUCAAGUGAUGCUACGGAGACUCGCUCGUAAAGCAAGUCUUCACCGAUUCACUAGACACGCAAGGAUUAUUUUAGAGGACAAGGAUUGUCUGCCCUUCAUUUUCAUGUCUUCUUUAUGUCUUUCUAUUUAUGUGGUCACGGUUAAGUUACGUCAACAUUUUAUAUUACUAUUCAUUUUUGUCUUAUUAUAUAUAUAAAAAAAAUAAUAUAAAAUGUUGAAUUAGCUUAACCAUUAUCACACAAAACAGAAUGGCACGGGAAGGGAACCGAAAGUGAAGGGCAGACAAAAUGUGUUGUGAUGUAUGGGUCCCACUAAUAAAAAAAAAAUGAAGGUUAGAAUUGAAAAACUGUAUCUUCUGCCGUUUCAUUCUUCUGUGUCUUCCUCACAUUUUAAAAGAUAAAUUUUAUUAGAUUAGAUGUUAAAUUAGUCAUUAUCAGAGUUCGAAUCACGCCAUCAUACUUUUCUCUAAUUGAGCUCUUGAAGUAUUUUUGUAUAAAACUAUAACGAAUAUUAUACAUUAGAAUAGAUAGUUGAUACGCCUAAUUGGAUUAAUAGUUUCUAUGGUGAUAGAGUAGUUGGAAGAUAGUCAUGUGGUGAAAAAAACUAGGAUUUAAUCCCCUAUGGUAAAGUCUAUUAGGAUUUAUGCUCAAAAUUGAGAAUUAUGUCAAAUUUCUGUUAAUUAUUAUCACGUGCCACACAUAUUAGGCUAAAACGGAACUCUUUAUACACAUACUAAGCUAAAACGGACGUGCUAAUAAUUAACAUAAAGUUAAUAGAAUUUUCAAUUUUGGGCAUAAAUCGUAACAAACUCUACCACAUGAGCUUAAAUCCUAAUUCUUUUCUACGGAGGUUAUCUUCCAACUGUCAUUUCACCACGGAAACUAUUAAUCCAAUUAAGCCUAGUUGAUAUUUCCAAUAAAAAGAGAGAUGAUUUUAUUAAUCAACAUUGAAGGUUUUGUGUAUAUUCUAUGAAGGCAUAAGGGAAUUAUACUAUAGUCUCCUCACAAAAAAUUCUUAGCUCUAUCAUUUUUCGUUUACCUAUAAUUCACACGGACGGGAUCAAUUUAUUAAGGGAUAUAUGAAACACGUAAAUGAGAUAAAUUCAUAUGUGCAUUAAACAUGACAUAGUCAAUGUGCAAUUUAAAUUUAAGAAAAGAAAAUUAUACUUACAAGACAUGAAAAAUUUGUUAAUCAACGUUGAAAUUUUUGUGCAUAUUCUAUGAAAAAAAAUAUGGAAAUUAUACUAUCAUCUCCUCAUAAGAAAUUCUCAACUAUGUCAUUUUUCGUGAAUUUGUGAUACACUCUAAAUGAGAUGGAUUCUUCAAUAAACUUUUGAUAAACAUAACUGAGACAUAUUCAUAAGUUUAUUAAAAAUGAUGAACCUCACUGAGUAGGCUAGAAUGCAAUUUUCUUGUGUUUUCAUAGCAUAUGCACAAAAAAUUAAUGUUGAAAAAUAAGUUUUUUUUAUAUAUAUAUUUUUAUGUAUAUAAGUAUAAUAUCCUUUUCAUCUUCUACUACAAGUUUUGUACAUAUUCUACAAUUUCAAAAAAAAAAAAUUAUAUGUAUAUAAGUUUAGUUUCUCAUUUUCUAGUAUACCAAAAGGAAACUAUAUAGUAGCAGUUCAUAAUAAAUUUUCUAACUAACUUACACUAGGCCUAUGGAUUUACUCGCAGCAAAACAUUUUGGACUUGGAUUCUCUGCCCUCCCAUUUCGGUGCCCUCCCCGUGUCCUCCUGUUUUGUGUGGUCACGGUUAAUACAUGCUAACAUUUUAUAUUGUUUUUUAUAAAAAUAAUAAGACAAAAAAAAUAGUAAUAUAAAAUAUUGACGUGGCUUAACCGUGACCACACAAACAAGAGGGCACGGGGAGGGCACCGAAUUAGGAGGGCAGAGAAUCCAAGUCCAAACAUUUUCACCCUUAGACAGAGGCAAUUUUGUUAUUUUUUGAAAAUUGAACCAUAAGGGCUUCUUCCUUAAUAAUAUUAGAUGAAUAUAAUAUUUUUCAUCUUCUAGUAUAAAUCGUGUGCAUAUUUUAUGAAACCAAAAAGAAAUCAAAUAGUAAUCUUCGAAAAUUUGAACAUACAUGUAAAAAGUAUUUUGAGCUACAUUAUUGCUAGCCCAUUGUGAAACUAAACUCAUUUCAUCUCCUUAGUAUAUAUAAUAUCAUUUGUUAAAAAAAAAUAUUGGUAUAAGGAAUGCUAACUCAUCUCAAGGUUAAGGACUUAAAGAGGGGGUCUUUGUCUUUUUUUAUUUUUUUUAACAGAUCGUUCAUAAAAAAUGAUUGCCGACAAUGAAAUUCAAACCAAACGCUUGAUCUAGCAAACAAAGCGAUCACUAUAAACCCCUAAAAUUAGAACAUUGUGUCCAUAAUAAUCAAUUGAAAUUUAGAGAGCGGAAAAUGCUACAGAGACUCACUCAAAAAUUGAAAUUUAAAUAACAAUUAAACUUAACAUUUUCUCUGUCUUUGCUCUACCUACCCAUAGGAAGUUCAGGAACGCAAAAGCAAAGUGCUUCUGAAAAUUCCAGUCGUUCAUGCCAACUCCGACCAUGAAAUUGGUAACCGUGGCUAAAAGUCGCAAACACACUAUGAAAAACUUCCCUAAAGCCCAGAUCUGAAUCUUGUAACCGGACAAAAAAAAGUGAAGUUUGAAUCGUAACAAAAAAGUUCAUAAUUUCCUUAACUUUGUCUUUUAGAAUUCGAUUUUUUUUAUUGCAUUGUGCUUCUUGAAAUUUAAAAAUUGUCAUUUUACUCUAUAAAACACAAAAUCUGCCUUACAUUGUCUUAAUUAUGUUAAUUCUAUUAUGUGAAAUGUUAAUGCAAGGUGGAAUUUAUUUUAUUUUCGUUUGAUUUUGUUAUUUUACUCUAUGAAACUCGAUUUUAUUAAAAAAAUUAACACAUAAUGUUGAAUUAUAAUCUAAUUCAAUGACACAUAUAGCAUAAUCUUAUUGAGGGGUGGGUCCCCUAUAUAUUUCACAAGGUGACCAUUGAUUUUCAGGGAGAAAGAAAAUUUAAAAGUUAAAAUAGAACAAAUUUUGAAUUUUAAAGAGAAAGAGAUGAUUUUUAAGUUAUACAGAACAACACAAGAUCAAAAUAUAGGGAACUUUAACAAAAAGCAUCCGGUACUGUUCACUUUAACGAAAAAUCAUAUUUUUACACUAAAAAAUCAAUCAUGGUACUAUUUAUUUUACCCUUUAUUUUGUCCUUAUCAUUAAAACUCAAAGUUUUCAAAUCUUUUUCAUUAGUUUCCUCAAAAUUUAAGGUAGGUGCGCGUUUGUUCAACAUUUUGCUUUUUCUUUACCAUUUCUUGGAAGUCGAUUUGGAAUCAUGAAAAUAAAAAAGGCCAAAAGUCAGUUGCGCGUUAUUUCAACCUUUUGUAUUCUCUGCACCUUUCAACACGCUUUCAUUUACUUUACUCGGCCUUGCAUUGACGCGGAUUGCAGGACGUUUCCAAGAAACGAUACGGUAGAAUCAUUGAAGGCUUUAGCUUUCCUUUUCUAUGGAUGUAUCUUUGCUCAACAUCUUCAAGUGAUACUACGGAGACUCGCUCAUAAACCAGGUCUCCAAAAGGCACGGUGCUUUUCUCUCCAGAGCUUCCUUCCUUCCUCUGUGUCUUCCUCACCCCCACCCUUUCUCCUCCCCACUCUCUCCCCUCUCCGAUGAAACCCAGAAGGCACUCUGCUUUUCUACACAGGAGGAUCGGUGAAGAAGAUGGAGAAGGAAGGAUGAAGUUUCGAGGGACCCGUCUGCAGAUGGAAAGACGGAGAGAGGAUUUUUAGUUUUUUAAUGAUUUUAAUAGUGGGGAAGUUGAAACACGUAUUUUAAUUCCAUCUGAAUUUGUGAGGAUUUCAAAAUUCACGUUCAAUUUCUUUAUUGUGAAUCGUACAAUCAGAUAUUAUUUUAAAUUUUUAUUAAAAUUAAAUACGGACAGAAAGUCCUGCGAAAUGACACGACAACUCUAACAAACGCACUAGAACUAUUAAAUAUGUUUGAUUAUUAUUUUCAAAUUCUUGAUUUUUAUUUAAUUUAACGUAUAUAGAGGGAAGGCUAUCCCAUUCCAAGUAAAUGGCAUAUUACAAGUUUUUUUGACGAUUUAUAAAGGGGUAUACUACAAGUUUUUCUGAAGAUUUAUAAAGGGGUAUAUUACAAGUUUCUUUGGAAUUUUGCAGAGCAUUCACCAAUAAGGUGUUUUUUUUUUUUAUCAAAUGAUAAAUUUGUUAGAUUAGAGAACCGACAUAAUUCGAAUUCAUACUAUGAUAUAUGAACAACACUUAUCUUCACCACUGUUAUAAAAUCCACUUAUUUCACUAAGAAAAGUUGUCGGAUGCGAAAUUCAAACUUGGAUUUUGGUCUAAUAAAUGUAGUUGAAUAUACUUUCCCUUAACACCCAAUUUUAUGCAUAUUCUUUGAAAAUGCAAGAAAAUUCUACUAGUCUUUUCACAAGAAAUUCCCAACGUUAUCAUUUACCGUCAACCCAUUAUUCACGCAAUUGAGUUUAAUUGCGUGUUUGUUCAACAUUUUGUUUUUUCUUUACCAUUUCUCCGAAGCGCUCUGGAAUCAUGAAAAGAGAGAAAAGGCCAAAUGGUAGUUGCGUGCUAUUUCAACUUUUUUGUAUUCUCUGCACCUUUCAACACGCGUUCAUUUAUUACGAUUGGGUGAUAUUACUCUACAUUCUAAAUAUUUAUUUAAUUUAAACUAUAGAGAGGGAGGCUACCGCAUAUUACAAGUUUUUUUUAGGACUUGCAGAUGGAGUUUUAGCAUAUAUUUUGAAUUUUACAGAUCGUUCAACAAGAAUAAUUGUAAGUUGCAAUAUUCGAACUUAGAUAUUGAUCUAAAGAAGAAAACAAUCAUUAUCAACUUUCAAAAUUAGAAUAACGCGUCUAUAAUAGUUAAUUGAAAUUUAUAAAAUUAUCUACAUAAAAUGAGGGUAGCAGAGAUGAAAAUGCUUUAUUGGAUGUGUAGGCACACGAGAAAUGAUAAGAUUAGGAAUGAUGAUAUUCAAUGUAAAGUAUGAGUAGUCGAAAUUAAAGAAAAAAUGAGAGAAAAUCAGUUACGGUGAUUUGGACAUAUGAAACGGAGAUCUAUUGAUACUCCAGUUAGAAUAUGCGAUUAUGAAAUAGAGUUUUAGGGCCAAAGGGGUAGAUGAAGAGACUAUAAAAAAAUACUUAAAGUACUUGAAUCUAACGGAAGACAUAAUACAGAAUCGAGCAUAAUUCGUAUAGCCGAUCUCAUUUAGUAAGAAAUUUUUUUAUGGGUAAAUUACAUAGUAGCCCAUCAAGUUUGAGGUCUAUUACAACCCCAUACAACAUUUUUAAAACAUUUCACUUUCAUACCUCACUUUCUAUUUUAUUUCAAAAUACAUUUUUAAAACAUUUCACUUUCAUACCUCAUGUUCUAUUUUAUUUCAAAAUAAUACAUCCGUUACAUUUUUCAUCCAUUGAUCCGUUAAGUGCUGACGUGGCUGUCAUAUUUAUGUCACAUGGCUACCAAAUGUGUGCCAUGUGGCAAAAAAAAAUAAUUUAAAAAAACAAAAAAACCCUAAUCUUCUAAAUAAAAAAAAAAAAAAAAAGGUUAGAAAAUCUAAAUCUCAUCACCCCACCCCUACCCCCAUACCUGAGCCUUAAGGAAAGAAGAAGAACCAGGAACAUGGAACCAUGAUCUUCUUCCAUCCGUCGUGCGCAUCCAUCCUCCACCUCCUCCUCUGCACCCAUCUCCACCUCCUUCGUGCACCCAUCUUCCGCUCCCCCAACCCGAGCCUAACCUGCAACCCAUAAAGAAGGAAGAAAAAAUAAAAUAAAAUAAAAUAAAAAACCCAGCGCACCCACCCUUCGCCUUAAAUCCACUCAUUGGGGAAGACGGGAUCUGGGUUGCAGGGAAAGGGAGAUGGGUUUUUAUUUUUUUUCUUUUCUUUUCUAGGUUGCAGGUAGUGGGUGCAGAGGAUAAGGUGGAGGAUGGGUGUACUGUGGGUUUGGGGAAGACAGGAGGGGGAAGAAAGGGGUGGGUUGCAAGGAGGGGGGGUUGGGGAGGAUGAAGAUGCGUGUUUAUUUAUUUUUAUUUUUAUUUUUUGCCUCUUCUCUUCUUCUUCUUAUGGGUUGCAAGUUGGGUGGAUGGGGGUUGCAGGUUCAGCUUUUGUUUUUUAUUUUUUUUGAUUUUUUGUAUUUUUUAGAAGAUUUAGGUUUUUUAAAAAAAAAAUUAAAAAAAAAUUGCCACUUAGUACAAAUGUGGCAGCCAUGUUAGCACUUAACGGAUCAGAUGGAAAAAGUAAUGGAGUUAUUAUUUUGAAAUAAAAUAAAAUGUGAGGUAUGAAAGUACAAUAUUUUAAAAAUGUUGUAUGAGGUUAUAAUAGAUCUCAAAUCUAAAGAAUUAUUAUGUAAUUUACCUUUUUUUUAUUGUUAUUCUUGUAGUUGCGUGUUACGUCAACUUUUUGUUUUCUCCCUACAAUUUCUUCGAAGUUGCGAAAUAUAAUGGAAUCAUAAACAAAGGAAAAAGACCAAGUCUUCGUUUACUUUGUUUAGGUCGCCCACGAGGGCCACUACCCCCUUUAUUAUUCUUAUUAUUGGUGCUGGUGGUUGUGGUUGUUGUCAGAUCGCAUUUCAAAUGAAUCUAUACGUUUUCUUUUACUUUACUCAGACGUGUGCGUGGGCUCAGAUUCCAAAGAAGUCUUUAUCUGAACCCACGCAUACCUAACCAUUUCAUACAAUUUACCGUAAAUUCUGUCCCUUUUUAUACAAUUUACUGUAAAAUUCCCCGUGUCUCUUUCUUACCUCGUUCGUUUAGGUAUAUAUAAACCUGUGCUAACAAUAUUAUUCAUCAGCCAAGAAGAGAUUCCGUAAGAGAAAAUAAAGUUUUGAGUCGUUUUAUUCACUUAAAUAUGUCUGUGGCUUCAGUCGGCGUGGGUGCCCUGAGAACGGCAUUUCAAAUGCUGUUUGAUGCGGUAAAAUCAGUGCAGGAGGAGACUACUAUGUUCAAGCACCUCCUCGGAGACAUCAAAUCCACACUGAACUCUCUGCAGCCACUCAUCCAAGAGAUUGAAAAAUAUAACUCGAAAGAGGGACUGGAAUAUUUUACAGUACAAAUGGAGAAGGGAGCAGAUCUUGUUCAAAAGUGCAGCAAAGUUGGCGUGUGGAAAAAAUGCAAAUACACCAAGAAGCUCCAUCAACUGGAAAAAUCUCUUCGAAGAGUGUUUGAUGAACUCAAACUGCAGGGCGUAAGGGAUGCGAGGGAGACGUUGGUUUCUCUCAGGAAUAUCGAGACGGCGUUCUCUCGAAUAGAAAAGAAUUUGGUGAUGAAAAGUAAUCAACCUGAAACGGUAAAUGUUCGUAUGCGGUGCCUGAACCCCCAUCCGUUACAGUCGGGUUGGAUUUGCCGUUGAGGGAGUUGAAGAUGAAGCUCCUUAAGGAUGAAAAGGUUUCGAUGCUUGUGCUUACAGCUGCUGGAGGAUGUGGGAAAACAACCUUGGCUAAAAAGUUUUGUCAAGAUCAAGAAGUCAAAGGUAUGCUAUCAAUGAUUUCAAUUUUUUUUUUUUGUGAAGUGUUAACUUCCUAGAUAGUUAAAAAAUUAUGUAGAUGAUGCAAUUUAGUAUUACGGUAUGGUGAUAUUUAUUUUUAUUGAUAAUUGAUAGGUUUUAAAUUAGAUUCUUGUUACAGACGAAUUUAAACUACAUUAUUGCUAACUUAUUGUAAGGUUAAAUCCAUCAGUUUAGAUUUUUCUAAAAAAGAAAAAACAUAUAGAGGAUUAGACGAGCAAAAGUAUGCACUAUGGCCAAGACCCCUAUAAAACGCCCGCUAGUCCCUCCAAGUAUCCACACCAACCCAAAUUUGUUCAAGAGAAUACAAUGUACAACGAAGGGGACAUGAAACUAAACCAUGCGAAAGCACAAAGCCGGUCCUUAAGGUAGUCUGUGCAGGUGCCGCCUAAGGCCCCACUUCGGAAGGAUCCCUAAAAAAUUUAUAUGUUGUGUAAAUAACAUAUAAAGAAAAAGUAAAAAAAUAUCAUAAUUCAUUUGUUGGUAUAGUGAAAAUAUUCAGCUGCCUUUUUCUUUGUGGUGGGAAUCGAAACAUAGAGUUGCCGUUUUAUGGUCACUAGUUUUUUCUUGUUUUUCAAAUUUACUCACAAUUCAUUUGUCCAAAUGCAUAUAAGGUAUAAAACUCAAGUCACUAUGCAUCUUUUUUUUUUUUUUUUUUUUUUUUUUUUCAAUUUCCCAAUCUCUUCAUUUCUAUAGAAUGUUUAAAUCAACUAUCACAUAGUCUUGAAGAUUGUACUUUAAGGUAAUAAAAAUUUUGAAUUAAUAUUUUGGUUUUUAAUAAUUUAUUAUUCAAUGAAGUAUUUCAAUAUCCGAUUCAUUAGUAUGAUGUUGUAGAAAAAACAAAAGAGAAACAAUUGACGUUGUUGAAUUUAUUAUACUCGUCAAUCAAGUUUUAUUGUUCUUUACUCUCCUGAUCAUCAAGUUUUAUUAUUUUUCACUCUCAAUCUUAAAACUUUUAGACUUCAAACAUUUAGUACAUUUGCGUUUAAAAAUGUGAGACGUGUAAUAUUUAAAUAAUGUUUGUAUAUCUAUUUUCUUUUGAUAUUAAUUUUUAGGGGCUUUUAAAUCCAGGUCCAAAAAUAUAGAUGGUUGUUAGGAGUGAGUCCAGUUAUCCAAUUACAUGCUUUUAUUUUUUUUUAUGCUCAUUUUAUAUUUGCUAAAAAUAUUAAAAAUCAAUUAAAAUCUUAUAAUAUUAUGUAUUUUCCAACUCCAAAAAAUCUAAUUAAUAUCUUAUAAUGAAAAAAAACUAACAUACUUAACAUAAAUCUAUCUGGUAAACAUUGUACCUGAACUCAAGUAACAAAUAUAUGAAGAGUGUUGAUAUUCUCACCCGGUGUCUUAUUUCCUCACCAUUUAACAAAAAUGUUAAUGACAUGUUUAACCUUUUUAACGAAGACUUUUAAACCUUAUUUAAUUAAUUACUAAAAUAUUUAAAAAAUUAUAAUAUAAAAUAAUAUAUAAAUAAUCAUGGGUGGGGUGUGAUAUCUGCAGUGGAGAGAGGCUGGGAAAGAUUUGGGCUACAAUGGGUAUAAAGGUUGGGAGAAGGAAUAGGUGUGUGCUAGAUGGAGGCGAGAAACUUCAAUGGAGUCUCUGCGGUGCGGUGAUAGGUGUGAGUACUAGGGUUUGACUCGGGGGAAAUGGAAUAUCGGUGAAAAUAGAGGGUGGGGAUCUGGAAAGAGAUCCGGGUGGUAUAUUUGAGUGGGAAGAGAUAUUGCGAAAGCGAUGCAAUGAUUUUAAUGACAUGCAUGAUUUGAAGGAGAUGAUGAAUGUCCAAGUUUGCAUUUUUUUUCUACUUCAGUUCUCCGUUUUUAUUUAUUUAUUUAAAUAUUAUUUAAAGAUAUAUUAGAGUUAUUUAAAACAAAACAUAUUAGGGUUAUUUUGAGAUUAAUGGUGGGUGGGAUUUACAUUUUACUUUUUUAACUUUUUGUGAUUGUGAGUGGGAAAAUAGGACAUUAGGGUGGGUCUAAUAGGACACUGGGUGGGAUUGUCAUUUUUAUGAAUGUGUAUUAUACUCAUAAGCGAGAUAUGAAAUCUAACUAAAAGGUUAAAAAAAUAAUAAUAUACAUAAAAGCAAGACAUAUUAAUCUGUGACGGGCUGAUUAUAAAAAAGAAUCUUUCAUAUAGGUGGAUAAAUAUUAUUAACCUGUGAUAUAUGUUGGUUAUAAAAAUUAAAAUUAAAAUUUAUAAAUGGGGUUUAAAGUAGGAGGAAAAACAAGAAAUAACAAAAAAAUAAUAAAAAGAAAUAAUCAAAGAGAUAAUUAGGAAGAAAUUUGAUUUUUAUAAUAAAUCUCAUCAUUGACGAGAUAAUUAUUAAUAAUUAAUAAUUAAAUAUAAGGAAUUGGACUUAUUUUAAUAAAUUGGACUAAUAUCAAGUUUUCCUUGACUUUUAAUGAUAUUUGAUGUGGAAAUAAUUUUUUUAUGUAUUUAGCGAAUUUUUUUUUUGUACAUAUAAAAAAUUGGGGGUCAAAGAACUUUAGGGUCCCACUUUGAAAGCUCGUCUAAGGCCCUCAAAAUCUCAGGUCCAGCCCUGUGAAAACAAAUUAAGAAAGUUCAUAAAUUCUUCUACAUAUAGCUUCAUCUCAGGGCACAAAUCUUGCAAUGAGCUCUUGCUUGACUACUUAAUUACUUGUUCUGAGAAUUGCAGACAUAUCUAGUCAACCUUUUUAUUAACCUCCGACAUUCUGUUUGGAUAGAUACAUUCAAGAACAAUAUCUUCUUUGUCAAUGUGUCGAAAAAGCCCAACUUGGACCUUAUUGUACAUGAACUAUAUCAACUGAAGGGGUUUGAGCCGCCUGUUUUCCAAAACGAAUUCAUGGCAGUUAACUGGUUGCAACAAUUUUUGAAGAAAGCAAGACACAAUCCUCUGUUGUUUGUCCUGGAUGACGUUUGGUCAGGAUCAGAGUCCCUUCUUGAUAAGUUUGAUCAAUUCAAGUUUUCAAAUUACAAAAUUUUGGUCACAUCAAGAUUUGCAUUUCCGAGAUUUGGUUCUCCAUACCAUUUGGCAUUAUUGAAUGAUGAGGAUGCAAUGGCUCUUUUUCACCAUUCAGCAUCCUCAGAGGAUAAGAGCUCUUAUACUUCCGAAGAUCUUUCAAGAAAGGUGAUUUCUUAGUCUGCAAUACACAUAUAUGCUUAUUUAUGCCUCAGAGAGUCAGAAGAGGGCAAAGAAAUAACGUUGAGCGUCCACGCAUGUCAACACAUCCAUUUACCGUCUUAUAAUAAGAAUGAAAGAGUAGACAGUUAAACAAUUUUAUCAUCUUUAUUGAAACAUUUAGAUGAUUUACAACAAUUUAAUCAAAUAAUAACUGAAUUCAUUCGGGAUAAUUAAAUUGCAGAUUAUGAAGCGCUGUAAGGGAUGGCCACUUGCCAUUGCAUUGGUCGGGAGGUCACUUCGCGGCCAGCCUUUAGAAAUCUGGCAGAAAAGAGUACUGGAAUGGAGCAAAGGUUCAUCUAUUCUUGAUACUGACAAGGAUUUGCUUGCUUGCCUCCAGAGCAGCUUAGAUGCCUUGGAUAAAGAAAAGACUAUGAUCAUGGAAUGUUUCCUCGAUCUAGGUUCAUUUCCCGAGGACCAAAGAAUCGCUGCUGCCACCCUCAUUGACAUGUGGGCGGAGUUAUAUGGUCUAGAAGAAGAAAUUCUGACCAUUGCCAACCUUCAUGGGCUCACCACCCGAAGUUUGGCAAACCUUGUUGUCACAAGGUAUGCACCCUACUCAUAAUUUUCUAUUCCAUUAUGUAUACCAAACAAAUCAUAAAAGAAAUUAUUAUUGAUCAUCCAGGCGUGAGAGGGAGGCGGACGGCUAUUACACCGAAGACUUUGUCACCCAGCAUCACAUGCUUAGAGAGUUGGCGAUCCAUCAGGCGAUUCAAGACCCAAUAGAACAGAGGAAAAGGCUAGUUAUAAACAUAUGUGGGGACAACCUUCCUAAGUGGUUGACAGAACAAAAGUAUCAAGCGUCCAAGGCUCGACUAUUAUCUAUCUCAACAGGUUCCAUCAAUCUCUAUAGUAAAUACGUCAUUGUUAUCUAUAUAGUAAAUACUUAUACGUGCACACAAGUAUGUGUGCAUGGACACGCUUGUGUGCACACACACUCGCUCAUUCAUAUUAAGACCUCAAUAGGACUUCAGAACAUUUAAUUUCAACCCACACUAACAUCUUAAAGCUUAUGGUUUGCAGAUGGAGCCUUCUCAGCAAAAUGGCCAAACAUGCAAGUACCUGAAGCAGAGGUUCUAGUUUUGAAUUUUCAAACAAAGAACUAUGCCUUACCUCAGUUCGUGGAGAAAAUGGAUAAACUAAAGGUUCUAAUAAUCACAAAUUACGGUUUGUCACCUGCUGGACUAGAUAAUUUUGAACUACUUGGUUCAUUAUCAAAUCUUAAGAGAAUUAGAUUAGAACGUAUUUCAAUUCCCACCAUAAGCAAGGUCCUCAAACCGUUGAAAAGUUUGCAAAAGAUAUCAUUUUUCAUGUGUGAUAUCGGUCAAGGUUUCAACAACUGUUCCAUUUCAAUCACAUCAGCAUUCCCGAAUCUUGAAGAAAUGAACAUCGACUUUUGCAGUGAUUUAAUUGAAUUGCCUUCCAAGCUUUGUGAUCUUAGUAAACUAAAGAAGCUCAGUAUUACUAACUGUCAUAAGCUAUCUGCCUUGCCUGAAGGGAUUGGAAAGUUGGAAAAUUUAGAAAUGUUGAGGCUAAGAUCCUGCACAGAACUGUCGAAGCUUCCAAUUUCGAUGAAGAACCUUGGAAAGGUAAAAUUUCUUGAUAUAUCUGAUUGCUUUGGCAUCAAGGUGUUGCCCAAAGACAUUGGUGAAAUGAGUGGUUUAAGAAAGAUCAAUAUGAGACAAUGCUCAAAGUUGCAAGAGCUGCCUCCAUCAGUCAUGGAUCUUGAGCAGUUAGAGGAAGUGGUCUGUGAUGAACAGACAAAAUGUUUAUGGGAAUCUUUCUUGUCGUGUCUCAACAACGUAAGGAUAAUUGUGGCGAAAGAGAAUAUCAACCCAAAUUGGCUCCAAAAGACUCAGUUCUGACACGUGUUUCCUCAAUGAACGUUGCUCUUAAACCUCUGUGUGGUUUGCGUUUUUUAUGGGACAUUUUAAACUAUGAUGUUUAGAAACCUUGGAUACUGUCCAGAAAAAUGGUUUGGUAGGAAACAAAGGAAAUGUUGUGAUCCAAAAUCAAGAAGGAUUUCAUGAUUUGGGUCAGUUCCUGAACCUCCAAUGUUACAGUUGGAUUGGAUGAGCCUUUGAGGGAGUUGAAGAAGAUGGGAAAACCACAUUGGCAAUGAAGUUAUGUCAAGAUGAGGAAGUCAAAGGUAUGAUAAUACUUUCUAAUUGCUUUUUAUAUUCUGAAAUUCCAUAUCCCCACUGAGGAAAGUGCCUAACCAAACCAGAAGGGUUAUAGUAGAAUUAAUCUGCAAUUUUGACAUCUUUUUCUCUCAAUUAGAACUAGUAGUAUGUUAUAGAUGUCAUUCGUUGAGUUGAAGCCUUUUGUACACUUAACAGCUUCGGUUAUAUAUAACAUCAAAGCUAAUCCAUAAAUGGAAUAUUUCAAAUGCUCAAAAAUCUUCUGAGAAAGAUUUAUUUCUCUCUAUGCAAUCCAAAACAAAUAUACUUAUCAAGGCUUCACAACAAAGUGUGGAAAAGAAAUUGUUUUGAUCUUUUACAAUAUGUAUGCACAUACAGAAGCAAACACCCAUUUUACCAUAAGAUUUUUCUUUAGAACUAAAACUGAAAUAAGAAUGAAGACGAGUAGGUAGUCAUUAACCAUUUUCACAAAACCCUUGAGAUGUUAAAAGAAACUUGAAAUUUCGGUAUGCAACUCAGAUGGUAAACCUGCAGAUACUAAACCUUUGUAAGGGAGUUCCGCUUGCCAUUACAGUGACCGGGAAAUCACUUUGUGGACAAGCUGCAGAAUUCUAGCGAUUCAAGACUAGCAGACUGUUGUAAAGGUUCUAUUCUUGAUUCUAAGACUGAGUUGCUUCUUCGCCUUCAAAGUAGCAUAGAUUCCUUAGAUGGCAAAGAGGCUAUCAUCAGGGAAUGUUUCACAGACCUUGUUUCAUUUCCUGAAGAUCAAAGAAUCUCUGCUGCUGCUUUCAUUAAUACGUGGGCAGAGUUAUAUAAGCUAGAUGAGGACUUUCUGUUCAUUAAGAACCUCCACAAACUCGCCACCAGAGGUCUGGCACAUCUUGUGAUCACUAGGAAAGCAAGCACAUGUAUAUGUACACACGCAAGUGCACAGACACACACGCUAAGAUUUGCACAUAAGUUUCAUUUAAUUUCUGUCCUACUCAUAUCUGGUAGCAUAUCGUUUGCAGAUGGAAAGUUCUCAACGCAAUGGCGGAGUGUUCAUCUACCACAAGUUUUGAGGUUCUAGUUUUGAAUUUUAAGACAGAGAACAACGCCUUACCUGAAUUUGUGCAGAAAUUUGACAAACUGAAGUUUCUAAUGGUCACAAACUAUGGUUUAAAUCAGAUUAGAGUGCAUUUCAAUUCAUUCCAUAACCAAGAACUUCGUUGCAUUGAAGAGUAAAGAAGAUAUCUUUAUUCAUGUGUAACAUGGGUCAAGCUUUCCGCAAUUGUUCCAUCAAAAUUUCAGAUGCCUGGCCAGGUAUAGAGGAAAUGAAUAUAGACUAUUGCCAUGAUUAGGUGGAACUGCCUACCGAGCUCUAUGAUCUUGUUCAUAUGAAGAUGCACAAUAUCACCAACUGUCAUAAGCUAUCUGCCUUGCCUGAAGAGAUCGGAAAGCUGGAGAAUUUUGAAGUAUUGAGACUAAGGUCUUGUACAGACUUGGUAAGGCUUCCGGUCUCUAUUGAGAACCUCACUAAGUUGUGCUGUCUUGACAAGUAUAAUUUUUUCGGCAUUAAGAAAUUGACUGAAGGCAUUGGUAAUAUGAGCGGUUUAAGAAAGAUCAACAUGGGACAACGCUCAAGAUUGAAAGAAUUUCCUCUGUCAGUGUGGGAUCUUCACGAGCAGUUCGAGGAAGUGACUUUGUGAUGAAGAGAAGAAGCGUUUGUAAUCCUUCAUAGCCAGAGACAAAAUCAAGGUGGCAAAAGAAAAAACCAAUCUGAAUUGGCUCGAAAAGCCUUAGCUGUUAGACCUGUCUUUCCUCGAUAAAUGUUGGAGCAGCGUUUUUCUGAUUUGUGUUGCACUGUUUUCUUUAAUUUGUAUUUUCUUGUUGGAUUUUCUUGUUUGAUUUCGUUCUUAGUUCUGUCUAAUUUCUAAGUUUCAUCACAUCAAUUUGUAAUCAAAUUUUCUUGAGUCUUAAGAAAUUAUGCGUUCUGAUGUUAUGGUUUUACCCAAUAUAAAUAAGGGAGUUUUAACGAAAAGCCCAACGGUACUGUUCACUUUAACGAAAAACUACAUUUUUACACUAAAAAGUUAAACCUGCUACUAUUCACUUUACCCUUUAUUUUUUCCUUAUUAUUAAAACUCAAAGUUUUCAAGCCAUUUUCAUUAGUUUUCUUUAUAAACAAUGUGUAUUAUAUUUUCUUGGAUUAUACAAAAAAUGUUUUUUUUUACUGCACCUAAUAUGUAAAUUAUGCAUUUAGUUAUAUUGACAAGUUUUCCUUUGUUGCUUCCAUGGAUGAUUAUAUAUUGAGAUAUUCUAAGUUGAGGUAUAUCAUAUUUUAAUUUAAUGACGUUGUUAUUGUUGAUAUCGUUGGUAGAUCAUCUGCAACCUUAGGUCAAAACCUAAAAUUUUUAACCCAGAAAAUUUAGAUUUUAACCCAAAAACAGCUUUGCUACUCAAACCCUUAUGGGUUAAAUUUUUAGCCCGAGAUUAAGAAUGAAUUUUGGCUAAUUUUUUUAAAAUAACUUUUAGAAAAAAAAAUUAAGUAGACUAUCAUAAUUUAAUUUUAAGAACAUUUUAACCUAAAAAUAUUUAGAUGAAAAAAAAAAAACUAAAUCGACACCAUGAAACUCAUGAACACUAUGAAAGAAUAUGAAACACAUGAUAGAGAUGUAUAAAACACAUGAAACACAUAUAAAACACAUGAAACACAUAUAAAACACAUGAUAAAGAUGUAUGACACACGAAACACAUACAAAAUACAUAUGAAACACAUGAAACACAAACCUACCCACACCAUAUUCUUCAAUCAUUCUCUAUAUAAGCAUAGGUUGAAUACCUAACCAUCACAUAACAUAUUCACCAAUCAUCCAUCUUUCAUAGUGUUUAUGUUUUCUCAAAAUCAUCCAACUUUCAUAGUGUUUUUAUUUCCUCGAAUUAUCAAUGUGUUAUAGAAAAAAGCGUAGCCUGACAUUGCAAAUGGCAAGUAAACAUUGCAGUUAAGGAAGAAGAAAUCAACAAUGAAGAAAUCGAAUUUGCAAACUCACUUAUGCAAAAUAGGCAACAUGCCAAAUCUAGCUUUCAUGGUUCUGUCACAAUUCGUUCAUUUGUGCAGCGUGACAGGGAAAAGUGCCAUGACCGGAUGAUAAAAGACUAUUUCAUUGAAUGUCUGAGAUAUCAUUCUCAUGAUUUUUGGAGGUGGUAUCGGAUGAGGAGAGAGCUUUUUAAAAGUAUUUUGAAUGCAGUUGCCCACCAUGACGACUACUUUGCAAUGAAGAUAGAUGUCUUAGGCUGACAGGUCUCACUGCUAUUGGGUGUUUUGCAACAUUGACAAAUAUUGUCGAUUUGUAAAGAUCACUGCUAUUGAGAACCUCAAGCACUUCUGUAAGACAAUUGAAGUCAUAUAUGGACAAACAUACCUCUGAAAGCCAAAUCGUGAAGACUUGAAGAGGUUUCUACGUAAGGCAAACAAAAGAGACUUCUCUGGAAUGAUAGGAAGUCUCAAUUGUAUGCAUUGGGAGUGGAAGAAUUGUCAAAUUUCUUGAGCAUGCCAAUUUAAAGGUCUUCACAACAAAACAACCAUUGUGAUUGAGGUUGUGACAUCUUACGACACUUGGAUUUGACAUGCAUUCUUCGACACCUUUGGAUCAAACAAUGAUAUCAAUGUUAUUUGGUCUUCUCCCUGUUUGAAGAUGUUGUCUAUGGAUGGCAACCGGAAUGGAGGUACAAGGUAAAUGAUAAUAGAUAUGAGCUAGGUUGCUACUGAACUGAUAAUAUUUAUCUUAGUUGGUCUACCUUUUGAAAAGUUAUUCUCGUUCCGAUAGUGCAAAGAUGAAAUUGUUUUUGUGGAAAUAAGAGUCUUACAGGAAAUAUGAGAGAGCGUUCGGAUCCUACAAACUCGAUGGGUCAUUGUUGGAGGGGUUGCACGAUUCUGGAGUAUGAAAGACCUCAAUUCAAUCAUGAUGACAUGCAUAAUUUUGCAUAACAUGAUUGUUGAAGAUGAAUACGUAGAAAUUGAAGAAGAUUCUGAUGAAGAUGUGGAUGGCGACCAACCAAUAUAUGCUAAGGCUAUGGCAAGAGACGUUGAAUAUCUCGCUGCAACCACAUACAAGACCUAAGAGGAUGGGGUCACACUGAGUGAGUACAUGAGAUGUCUUGCUAGAAGGAGAUUUGUUGAGCAUAUAUGGCAUUGAGAAGGAGAACGGUGAUGAUAAAAUGUAACAAAUGAUAAUUAAUAAACUUUGUUGGUACCACACAUAUUGGGCCUCAUUACCCAGCCCAUAAUUAUGUAAAAGGAGGAGCCCUUUAUUUUAUAAAAGGGGACUCCUCAUCCCUCACAAAUCAGACUUUGGGAUACUUCCAAAACAUACAAGUCUCAAACAACUCAGAGACAACACUCUGUUCCUAGAGGGACUCCCCUUGAGCUUGUAAUCCAUACAUACAGUUACAGAGAAAUACAAGCAACAUCAGUGUGGACGUAGCCCAAACAUUGGGGUGAACCACAAUACAUCUUUGUGUUCUUGGGCGAUUGCAUGAUUCACGGUCGGAUUUACGUUGUUCAAAGACCUUCCGUUUUGUGCAUCAACAAACUACAUAUAAAUUAAUGCAACAAUUACUAAUCGCAAUAAUAUUGACCAUCUUGACUUGUUGGUGGAUUUGAUGGUGAACUUGGGAUAUAUGCUUGAUAUGAAUUAUCAUCUUGAAAGAUACUCUUUGUGCCAUUCUUUCGCAUAAUUUCCUUUUGUUUAUCAUAGGAGAACUUCUUAAUAUUUGGAGUUUAUUUGUUGAGGUUUUCCCUCAUCAUAUCAAAAUCGAAUCUUUCUUGCUCCAUUUCCGAUUGCUUCUCAAAGGCCAAUCACAUUUGCAUCACUUCCUCCUCUCGAGAGUCUUGGCGUCUAGACAAUUUUGCAAACCGGAAGAAAUCGUUGCACCAAUUGGAUAUUGCAUCUUCCCUUUUCUCUUUGCUUAUUUUUGCUUAUUUCUUCCCGGAGGCCUUGGAAAAGAAGAAGUUGGGAUCCUUCAUUACCAACAUUUGUGCUUGCGUCUUCACUAGCAAAUAAUUUUUCUCGUUGUUGAUCCGCAUGGGUUCCUUAUCUCGGACAAUCCUUGAGGAUGUCCCAAGCAUGAUUCACCACUUCUACGGUGCUCCUUCCACUAGCCAUGUCAACCACAACUCUCUCAAAGCUUCCCUUCCAUAAAGUGCAAUUUUUGUUGAUAACCUUCCACCAAUAGUAAACACUCCCAACUUCCCCUUGAUUGGUAUUGGAGUUUUCAUUGAGCUUAUCAACAAUUUUAUCCCACAAAUCCUUUUUAAUUUGAUUCGUGUUAACGGCAUCAUCUUCGCUAAUACAAACUCAUGUCAAGCACAAAGCAACUUCUUCCUCAUUUUACCAAUUACGACCUCCAAUAUGAUCUUUUGUCAUCUUGAAAAUUUUGGAAAUGAUUUCAGAUGAUUGUAGAAAGAAAAAUUGGAAGAAUUGUAGGAGAAAAGUAAAUUUUGUGUGGAUGUUUAAACAAAUACGUAAGUAUUUAUAAAGUUUUUGGAUAAAUUUUGACUCAAAGAAUUUUUUUUUAAUUAUUUUAGCUGUUAGAUUCAAAUUUGAACCAUUGCAGUUUUUUAUUGUUGAAUUUGAUCAUAUUAAAUCUCAACUAUUGAAAUCAAUAAAUUUAUAAAUAUAAAACUAAAAAAUAAAAUAAAAUUUGAACUUGGACGGUUGUAUCAACCAACAAUCCAAUGAAUCAUUGUUGUUGGAUGAAAGAAAGAGUCGUUGGACUCAGCUGGGCACGCGUUUCGUGCGUGCGGCACGUCUCGGUUUACGCGGUUGGCCAAUUUAGGACGCGUCCACGCGCAUAUGUGAGACCCUCCAAGGGUUGGAAUGAAAAUAAAGAGGGGAAAUACAGGCUAAAUUUUGAGAUUUACCCCCAAAGAUUAGAGGGAGUGCAAUUAAGCUCUCUAUGCUGUUGUCGCCUUUCGAAACUUGCCUACACAAUUUAAUAGGAUAAGAAGAAAUACUUUCUGAGAAAAAUACAAUUGUGGUCGCCACCAUCUACCUGCAACAUGGUUGUUGGAUUAUCUCUUUCGCUCUCGCCACGAAGCUUCCCAGACAUGGUGAUGCAGUUUCCUGGUUAAUUUCCAAGUCUCCCUCCACACUCAAUCAGCUAUUGCUAAAGUCAACGCGCUCCAACUCCGAAAUUUCUAUCGAGCUUCGAAGUAAGUACUUCUAUGCCAACUCCCAGAUAGUUUGUUUAUCCUACCUUGCUUGAUCACCAACAACGUAAGAGAAUAUCCAACUCUGCAUUGCUUGUUUUCUGAAUCGCUUUAUUUUGGGUUCCAAGUUUCUAAUCUGUUAUUGUUUUGGGAAAGUGGCUCAAAUGGUCCGAAAUCAAAUCUCAAAUAUCGAAGACAUACUGAAAAACUGAUCAUUUCAGCAGCCAAUUUCCCUGUUAUUUUCUGUUGUCGUAAAUUUUAGAUUGAAACUUUUGUAAGUUUUUCUGAUUUUGGUGUUGGUUUUUGUUGUUAAGAAUCAAGGAAUGGGUGGUCUCGGGCUAGCAUUCAGUGUGACUGUAUGAUGUCCUCAAGGAGCUGAUCACCAAGAAUGUAAUGUUUACGCCCCUCCUCAAACGAAUCCAAUCCAAGUUACACCUUUUGACCCCAGUGUUGAAAAAUAUAGAAGAAUCCAACAAGAAAUUGGAUCUUCCGGUUGAGGAGCUGGAAAAGUUAAAAGUACAUUUGGAGGAGGGCAUACAGCUCCUUCCGAAGUGCGAAAAGACUCCAUGGUGGAGCGGAGCCAAAAGGUACAAAUACCACAACAAGCUGAUUGAAUGGGAUGAAUAUCCUCAACAACAUUUGGAAAUACUAAAAGUUCAGGGAAUAAGGGAUGUGAAGGACAUUGCAGUUACGGUGAAGAUUAUAGAGGAGGCGGUCGGAAGAAUUGAAUUGAAUCAGGUGAUCCCAAAACAACUCGAUUGUGAAGCCUUCUGCACAACAAGGAAUACAUAAAUACAAUUAGUUGGAAAAUAAGAUUUUGACACUCACCACUUCUACGACGCUCCUACCACUAGCCAUGUCAAUCACAACUCUCCCCACGCAUCCCUUCUAUAAAGUCCAUGCUUUGUUGAUAACCUUCCAUAGAUUGUAAACACUACCAACUUCUUUUCGGUUGGUAUUGGAGUUUUCAUUGAACUUAUUAACGACCUUAACCCACAAAACCUUUUCAAUUUGAUUCGCGUCAACGACACUAUCUUCGCUAAUACAAAUCCAUGGCAAAGCACAAAGUAACUUCUUCCUCAUUUUACCAAUUACGACUUCUAAUAUGAACUUUUACCGUCUUGAAAAAUUUGGAAAUUGGAAGAAAUGAUUUAGAAGGAUGGUAAAAAGAAAAACAGGAAGAAUUGUAGGAGAAAAGUGAAUUUUGUGUAGAUGUUUAAAUAAAUACAUAGGUAUUUAUAGAAUUUUUAGAUGAAUUUUGAUUUAAAGAUUUUUUUUUAAAAUUAUUUUAAUCUUUGAAUUUAAAUUUGUACCGUUUAGUUUUUUUUAACUUUAGAUUUGAUUAUAUUAAAUCUCAGCCGUUGAAAUCAAUGAUUUAUAAAUAUAAAAUAAAAAAAUAAAAUAAAAUUUGAUCUUGAAUCGUUGGAUCAACCAUCAAUCCAAUGAAUCACUGGCGUUGGAUGAAAGAAUGAGUAAUUGGGGUCAGUUGGGUGGCUGACGGACCCUUGUCCGCAGGAUCCUCCCGACUUGCACGCGUUCCGUGCGCGCGUGCGCGCGUUCCAAUUCACGGCUUGUCCACGCGCAUAUCCGUGUGGUGGCCGACCGUAAGUGCAAUUAGCUGCAAGUAGGAGGAAUUGUUAAAUAUUAGUCAUAUAUUGCUCAUUGGCUCUCUAUGCUGUUGUCGCCUUUCGAAACUUGCCUUCACAAUUUAAUACGAUAAGAAGCAAUACUUUCUGAGAAAGAUACAAUUCUGGUCGCCAUCUGCCUGCAAUAUGGUUGUUGGAUUAUCUCUUUCGCUCUCGCCACGAAGUUUCCCAGGCAUGGUGAUGCAGUUUCCUGGUUAAUUUCCAAGUCUCCCUCCACACUCAAUCGGCUAUUGCUAAAGUCAACGCGCUCCAACUCCGAAAUUUCUAUCGAGCUUCGAAGUAAGUAUUUCUAUGCCAACUCCCAGAUAGUUUGUUUAUCCUAUCUUGCUUGAUCACCAACAACGUAAGAGAAUAUCCAACUCUGUAUUGCUUGUUUUCUGAAUCGCUUUAUUUUGGGUUCCAAGUUUCUAAUCUGUUGUUGUUUUGGGAAAGUGGCUCAAAUGGUCCGAAAUCAAAUCUCAAAUAUCGAAGACAUACUGAAAAACUGAUCAUUUCAUCAGCCGAUUUCCCUGUUAUUUUCUGUUGUCGUAAAUUUUAGGUUGAAACUUUUGUAAGUUUUUCUGAUUUUGGUGUAGGUUUUUGUUGUUAAGAAUCAAGGAAUGAGUGGAGCAGGCAGCCUUUUCGGAGGGGCUGGUCUCGGAACACUAGUCAAUGCGCUGUACGAUGUCCUCAAGGAGCUGAUCACCAAGAAUGUAAUGUUUAAGCCCCUACUCAAAAACAUCAAAUUCAGGUUAGACUCUUUGGAACCAUUGUUGAAAGAUAUAGAAAGAUCCAACAAGAAAUUGGACCUGUCGGAUAAGGAACUGAGAAACUUGAAACUACAUUUGGAGGAGGGCAUACAUCUCGUCCAAAAGUGCAAAAAGAUUCGAUGGUGGAGCGUAUUAGUAUACAAAAGGUACAAGUACGCCAACAAGCUGAUUGAAUGGGAUGCAUCUCUUCAACGACUUUUGGACAUGCUAAAAGUUCAGGGAAUAAGGGAUGUGAAGGACAACGCGGUUACGGUGAAGAAUGUAGAGGAGGCGGUCAUCAGAAUUGAAUCGAAUAUGGUGAUACCAAAACAACCCGACAGUGAAGCUUGGUGUGCCGUACCUCAACUUCCGCCGCUCGUGGUUGGAUUGGAUUUUCCUCUAAAGGAACUGAAGAGGAAGCUUCUAAAGGACAAAAAUGUGUCAAUGGUUGUGCUGACUGCUCCUGGAGGAUGUGGGAAAACCACUUUGGCUACAAAGUUUUGUCAAGACAAGGAUAUCAAAGGUAUCAUAUAUUAUAAGUUAGCACUCUGAAUUGUUUAUGUUUUUUUACUUUGUACAACUAUGGCAGAUUUAAAUGACGCCUCAAUGACUGAUUUAUUAUGUUUUCUCUGGAUAGAUGCAUUCAAGGAUAACAUCUUCUUUGUCACGGUUUCAAAAAAGCCUAAAUUAGAAAAUAUUGUUCAAGAUCUUUAUAUCAACGCAAGGGUUUCCAAGCACCUACUUUCCAAAACGAAGUUAGUACAGCGACGUGGCUGCAACGUUUUCUGAAGGAAGAAGGGCAGAAUCCUUUACUGAUUGUCCUGGAUGAUGUUUGGCCUGGAUCAGAAUCCCUUGUGGAGAAGUUUGAUCAAUUCAAAACGGAAAAUUACAAGUUUUUGGUGACAUCUAGGUCUGAAUUUCGGGGAUAUGGUUCCCCUUAUUAUUUGCAAUCAUUGGAUCAUGACAAUGCGAUGAAACUUUUUCAUCAUUCAGCAUCCCUUGGAGAUAAGAGCUCUCAUAUUCCAAAAGAUCUUCCAGAAAAGGUACAUUUUAGUUGCAACGCACGUGUAUGGUAAAAAAUUAGUUGAUUUGGUUUUGGAGAAUUAUCAAGAAAUUAUGUUCACCUUACGCAAAGCAUCCACAAUUGAGCGAAUGAACACAUCCAUUUACCAUAUAAACCUGUGAGUAGUCAUGCAUCUAAGCAUACUUACUUGUCGACUAAAACUAAAAUUAGAAUACUGUAUAUAGUUAUUUAGCCAUUUUCUCUCAUCUUAGUAACUUGAAUUUUGGCUCUGCAACUUAAAAGUUAGUUGAUUUUGUUUUGGAAAAUUAUCCUGCAGAUAGUUGAGCGUUGCAAGGGAUUUCCACUUGCUAUUACAGUGGUGGGGAGAUCGCUUAGUGGGGAGCCUAUAGAGAUAUGGCAAAAAAGAGAACUUGAAUUGUCUAAAGGUUUUUCUAUUCUUGAUUCAGAGACUGAAUUGCUGCUCUGCCUUGAACGAAGCUUGGAUGCCUUAGAUAAAGAAAUCAUCAAGGAAUGUUUCUUAGACUUAGGUUCAUUUCCAGAAGACCAAAGAAUCGCUGCAGCUGCCCUUGUUGAUAUCUGGGCAGAGUUAUAUGAUGUAGAUACAGAUAUAGAGUGCAUUGCAAACAUCUACGAGCUCACCAAACGAAGUCUAGCUAAUCUUGUUGUCACAAGGUGUGCAUGUUUUAUUUUCUCUUGUAUGAUAUUUUCGCUCGAUUUUCCCCUUUAUUCAUGACCGAUUGAUCGAAGCUCUUCUAAGAAAAUUAGUUUUGAUCAUCACCAGGAAGGACAAGAUGGAGGGGGACGGGUAUUAUAGUGAGCACUUUGUUACCCAGCAUGAUGUUCUUAGGGAACUGGCCAUCUAUGACACAAAAAAAGGACCGGUAGAACAUAGAAAAAGACUGAUUAUUGACAUAUGUGGAGACAAACUUCCAAAAUGGUGGAGAGAACAGAAGCAGAUGAAGGCCCGCUUAUUAUCUAUAACAACUGGUUGUUCUAUCUCUCCCUUUCGCUUUAGCAAUUACGUAGACAUGCACAAAUAAAUAUUCAUUCCACACGCACGUGUGUGUGCACAUUAAGUCUUAAUAAUACUUUCAUUUAGUUUCUCCUCCCCACACUCACAGUUGUUACUUUGCAGA